rnacentral:lncRNA from 1 species
ACGCUAGUUCGUUGUCUUAUUUUGUUGCUCCAACAUAGGUAAUCUUCCUUCCCAUUUAGUUUUGAUUCUAUCUUCUUUUUCAUCUCAUCGUUCUAUAGUCACUGUAGUCAUAAUCGUUGUAAUGCUGGGAUUGUUUAUUGUAGAUAGCUCCGAUAGCCAUAGGGUUUAUUUGAGAUAAUCUUUGCUAUGUUGUUUGCAAAGCCAAUAUUUAUACUACAACUUUUGCUUUAUUGUGGAUUUGUGUAGUCUUUCGGUUUGAUUGCCUGGAGCUCAUCUCAUAGUGUAGAAUGGCUCUGUUUUUUAGCAUGUAUUGCAAAAUUUCUAUUUUUUAAUUGUUAGUUCACUGUCUUGAGUUCAAUGUUUUCAUCUACUAAUUUAUGUUUUAGUUUGCUUUUGAAAUCGCUAUGAUGCUAAUUUUAUUCAUCCCCGACAUGUCAUUUUUUUUUAAAACUUGAAUAUUGUUGUCUGGUCUUCCCUCUCUUCAGUUGAAUAUCCCUAUUUUUAGUCUCAAUAUGUCGUCUUAGUGUAAUGUUGUUUUGGUUGGAUUUCGGUUUCCUUUUUAUUCAUAAUUUUAUUUCUAAUUCAAAGUUUACUGAUAGUUUAAUCUACUGUAUUAGUUUGAUUAGUAAUAUAUUGAAUUCAUGUACAGAAUGUCAUCCAAGAAUGUUCCACAGUUUAUGUAUUUUCCUUAGAAUUUUCUUUUUGAGUAAAAGAUCCGUAUAAGGGAUUAACUUUUACUCCACUUGCGUGUAUGUGUGUUGUCUAUAGAUUAAUACUAUUUUGCUCAAGCAUUUAUUAGGAGCUUUUCAUUCCUCUAUUGGUUGGGUUUGUUUAUAUGAUUAGGAAAAAGUAGCAGGGGGGCUCAUAAUGAUUUUUAGACCCAUAUUAUCGAUGAAUUUAUUUGAUUGCGUCUAUAUGUAAAGUCAUUCUUUAUUUGUUUUGUAUCAAGUUGGUGUAGUUUAAGAACUUAUUUUUAUCCUCUUAAUUGGGUGCUUACUGAAGUAAUUAGCUCAUGACAAAGUGUUAUUUAGCUGCACUAUUCUCGUCUUCCUCAAACUUGAAUUUUAGGGAAAUGGAUUAGUAAUAUAGCUAUGAAUUCACUCCUUCAUGCUUUGAUUAAAAGUAUUAUUUUGUUGGACUUUUGUUCUCACUGUUUCGUGCAUUAGUGCCUAUGUUUAUUACUCUAGGAAAAUAAAGAUGCCAUCUUAGGAAUUAAAAGUUGUUCUUUAGUAAUAAAUUCUCAAUUUACUCGUGUUCUUAACUGUCUGUGUCGAACAUAUCAUUAUUGUUUAUUUUCCUUCAAAAGAUCUUUCCUUGAACCCAUUGUUGAAAUUGGUUCCAUUUAAAAAUUUCUGCUUGGGUAGUCUUAAGUAUCAAUACUCAUUUAACUAUAGUAGUAGAAUGUCUUUCUAUUUGCGUUCUUUAAUAGCAUGUUUUAAUCUCUUCCUUCUCUUUCUCCUUGAUUUUUUUAUUUAAAUCAAUAGCAUGGUCCUUACCCUCGCCCUUUUUGAUAUUCAAACAAGCAUGCCUGGCAUAAUUUUAGUCAAUCUUUUAUUAUUUUUAUUUAUUUGCUAAAUUCAACAGAUUGAUUGUAUUGUUAUCAUAUGUUGUGUUUCCUUUGAUUAGUUACCUUUAUCUUGUUUAUUUUUGUAUGACUGUUUGUGUAUUGGUUCACGAUAGUUAGAUUCUAAUCUUUUCCUUUUGUUUGACAUGUAAAACGAUGGGUCCAAAAUAGACUCUUUCCAUUUGCAUUUCUAUGAUGGGUUAACGCGGCCCUUCUCCUUUCCGAGUCAAUUCCUAGAAAAAUCCUAAAACAAAUAACAUGGCGUGUGGAUACGAAAAGUCGGCAGAAGGAAAAAAUGGGUUAAAGUCCCAUAUUUGAAGCAGCAAAGAGACGCGAAAGUCUUGUAUUCAUUUAUUCAUUCAUUAUCGUCUUUUAUUAUUAUCUAUUCAUUUUUUUUAUUUGGGCAAAGGUACAAAUAUACCCUCAAACUUUGAUAAAUGGUGCAAAUAUAACCUCCGUCAUACUUUAGGUACAAAUAUACCCUUACCGCUAAUGAAAAGGUGCAAAAAUACUCUUAUGACUAACUGCGGGACACGUGUCACGAUCGUGUUCCUCCAUUAGUGAUAAGGGUAUAUUUGUACCAUUUAUCAAAGUUCGAGGGUAUAUUUGUACCUUUUCCAUUUUUAUAAUUUACUUUCUCCGUUCCAUAUUAGUUGAUCAUUUUGUUAAAAAUAAUUAUUUUAUAUUAAUUGUCCAUUAUACUAAAUAAAAAAAACAUUGAUUAGAUUUAAAUUAUAUUAUCCUUGUAGUUAAUUCAUUCUGAAAGUCUUCACAUUUGUUUAUAAAGUUUUCAAGAAAUUUUUUAUGGUGUGAAUUUGUAAAAGGAAAACUUACCAAAAUAUACUAUAUUUAAAAUUUUUUACCAUUUAUAGCUGUAUAAUUUUAAUAUAUGCAUAAUCUUACUAUCUAAUAAGAGGAAAAGGCCACGGAAGCAGGCAACUCUCCACUAAUAAAUAUAUAAAUAUAUAUAUUUUUACAAAGAUUAAUUAAUUCGAUAAAUUAAUAAUAGUAAUAACUAACUAUUCUUUGAUGACAAUAUUUUCACUUCAAACAUGAGUCUAUUUUUAUAAAAUGGGACGAAUAGAGUACGCUUAUAAGGGCAUGAAAAAAAUAAAUAUGAUAAAUUAAUGGAUCCAAUUGAGUAAUCUUUGUGUGGUUUAAUUAUAUUAAUAGAUCGAAUUGAGUAAUCUUUGUGUGGUUUAAUCUAUAAGGAUAUUAAAUGAUAAAUAAACCACACAAAGAUUACUCAAUUCGAUCCUUUAAUUUAUCAUGUUUAUUUUUUUCAUGCCCUUACAAGAGUACUUUAUUCAUCCCAUUUUACAAAAACAGACUCAUGUUUGAAGUGAAAAUAUUGUCAUGAAAGAAUAGUUAGUUAUUACUAUUAUUAAUUUAUCAAAUUAAUUAAUCUUGGUAAAAUUAUAUAUAUAUAUAGGUUAUUAAUUUUUUAAUACAUAAAUGACUUAUAAUAAUUAAUUAGAGAUGAUAUAGUAAAAUCAUGGAGCAAGUAGCUGAUGAAGCAGGCAGGAGUAGCAGGCUUGCUGACGGAGAGUUGCCUGCUUCUAUGGUCUUUCACUCUUAUUAGAUAGACCACAUGUUUGUUAAAAUGUCGAUAAGAGAGGAACUCCUUAUAAGCUUGUAAUGGUUAAUGUGAACUUUCUUGGGGCAUUGUUUGAUAAUUCUUGGAGCAUAGUUUUGAGUCCAAAUGGUUUUAAAUAUAGGACAACUAGUGAUUUUUGGUUGAGAUUGUUGAUGAAUGUUUCAUCCAUGAUUUGAUCGAUAAAUGUGCUUAUCAUAGCCUUCACGGGUGAAGUCUGAGUAAUCCGAGAGACAUGAAUGCUUACCUUGCCCUUUGAUAGAUCAGGUGACUCCAUUCUUAAAGGUAUAGGGACAUUUGUGUUUCUAUUAGGGCCAUGAAUGUUAUAUGAGCCAAAUGGGCGAUAUGUGAAGGAGUGACAAUAUCAAGUUUAAUGAGUUGAGUGUUGUGACAAAUGAGUUCCAUGAGUCGCAAUGAUGAAGUUACCUUGCAUCUACCUUUAUUUUUCUUCAGUUUUAUUUUCUUUCUUCAUAUAUUAAAAUCACAAAAAUAUUUUUUAUUAUUUCUCUUUUGCUUUGGUUUUGGUAUUUUUCUUUUUCAUAGGUAUAUCUCCAAGGAAUAUUUGCUAUUGGAUGCUAAAAAGGCUCAUACUCGGAUAAAGGCAGGGUGGAAGCUACCACCAAAAAGGGAAAAGCAUCAACCUCUAAAGUAGUCUAAAAAGGCCUAGAGUUGUAACUUCCUAGCUCCUGAGAUGAUAAUGAAAUGCCUUUGGUAGUGAAACCGACUAGAGAAGCCCAGCCUAACGAGGCCCCUAGUAAGGCAACAUGACCAUCUAUUGACAUGGACCCGAGCGCCUAGUGUGCCAUAGGGAGUCUUUACCCUCUUCUACUCUCAUUAUAUAUUUUCAUUGGAGAUAAUGCAAUGAAUUUUAAUUGGGGGGGGGGGGGGGGGGGGGGGUGUACAUUGCUCUACAUUUGACGGUCUAUACUUGUUGGUUUCAUUUGGUGGCAUUGGUUGGAUAGAUUUUGGGUACAUUGCUCUACAUUUGAUGGUCUAUACUUGUUAAUUUUAUUUGGUGGCAUUGGUUGGAUAGAUUUUGGGUUGGCCUUUGAUGGGAAUAUGGAUAAAUAUAUCAAGUAUCGCCCUUGUCGGGCAUGUUUCAUGCACUCAUUAUGAAUGUUAUACCCGAUUGUGAUUGUAUUGGUAUUGAUGGUGUAUUUUGGGUGAUGCUAUGUGCAUUCUUCUUGUUACAUUUUGUAUAUAUGUGUCCAAUAAACUCCAAGGGUUUUCUUCGAAACUCGGUUCUUUCCUAAGGAGCAAAUUUUAUUUUCUCUUUCUUUUGAUCUUUUGUUUUUAUUUUAGUUUACUUUCUUUGUCGAAUAGAGUGAUAAUUCACCCAUGAUGGAUGACAAGGCGACCUCCUUAGGUGAAGUAUCUAGUCGUUUCGGUUAACUAGGAAGAAGCAAAAAUUUGAAAAUACUUUCAAAAUGUCAUUGGCAAGGAAUGAAAUGCUUUUGAGAAAAAUCAAAAAUAUAGUUUUCUUUAAAAAAAAAAAGAUCAAGGAUAUUUUGAGCUUUCUUUUGAGUGACACCAUUAAACUCAAUUUUCGGCGCUCUGUUUACAAGGAUGAGUCUUUGACUCUUGAGUAACUUAUGAAGCUUAAAUUACCCAAAUUGGUUGGGAGACUAACUUUUUUCUCUGUGGGUAUGAUGCCAUAUGUGGUGAGAUUUUUUGAAUAAUUCUUGUACAUAUUUGUAGUCUAGCACUUUCCCCCAGUGUAUUCAAAGCAAAAUUCUAGGCAAGCUUGGUUUGGAGGAUGACCUGAGGCCAUUGUUUAUGACCCGUCACAUAGCCAAAUUCCCACCUUAACAUUAUCCCUAGUUAACCCAUUAGAGCCUUUUUGCCCAUAUUUCUUGCUUAUUGUAAUGAUAACCAUGCUAAAACACCUAAAACCUUUUGAAAAAUCUCUUUUUUAGCACUUAACCUCUUUUGAUGCAUCGCAUGAUUCUAAAUAAUGGAUUAUAGGCAAAAGCCUAAGUUUGGGAGGGUGUAUUUGGGAGAACAUGAUCAAAGAAAAGACAAUAAAGGUAUAUGUAAGGUUGUCAACUCAUAUGCUUAAAGGACAAGAGAUGUGCUUGAUGAUAGUUGAAUAGCCUAGCCCAUAGAACUAAGAAAUAGAUGAAUGACGAGCUAAGAAGGGCUUAUAAGUAGAACAUCUCUUGAAAAAGUCAAAGAAGUGAAGAAAGAAAAUGGCGGCUUGAAUUGUUUGGUAAUGUUAAAACAAAAAGUUAGGAAAAUAUGGAAAAUAAUUUGAAGAAGAAUAAGGUAGGUAGUGUGAAAAUUUUGGGAGUAGAAAGGGGUAGGCGAUUGCAUUGAAGGAGGUCUUUGAGUCACUUGAUCCAUAGAUUUCUUCCCGCACCUUAAACCUUCAUCUUGACUCGCAAGACCUUGGUGAUUCCAAACUAAGUAAGUCUACAUUAGUGAUGAAAAACACAAAGGGCAAGCCUAUGGUUCUAUUCGAUGCACUUGAUUUCUUUGUGAGAGUGAGUGUGACUUCUUUCUUUAUUUGAGCUCUUUUAUGAAUUGAAAUGUCUUUUGUGUAUAGAGCUAACUCUUGCAUGUGAGCGGCAUCAGUACUUUUGGGUAGAGGGUGAAGUUUUACUAUCGAUUUGGGUAAAUAAGUGAAGUAAGUUGCAUUAUGAAGGUUUAGACAAUCUUUGAAGAUUUUGUAUCUUAUCUUAAGAUGAUUUGUGAUUUGGAAAGUUCAUUUGAUACAAACAUGCAUCCUUGCUUCAUAAAUAUGUGCUUAUUGAAAAAUUUUUGUUUACUUGUUGUCAUGACAUGUUUGGAAAGUGUUUGUAGAGCUUUGUUAGCUUAUUCCUUUACUAUAGCUUUCAUUUGGGUGAAUUUGAGUUAAACACCCUAUCUCAUUGAAUUAGUCUUUGUUGCUUGAGGACAAGCAAUAGUUUAAGUUUGAGUGGUUGAUAAGUUGUUAAUUUGACGGUUUGCUAGCACCUUUUAAGCCUAAAUUAUUAUGUUUUUUCCAUUGAUUUGAUGGUAAUGUCUUACUUAAUGCUCAUUUGUGUAGGUAAAAGUUAAAAAGGAAAGAUGAGCAAGUCAUUCAAGUCAACAAGAGGCCAAAUGUGAAGGAAAAGAGCCAUCCACUUUGCAUCUGCUUUUGAGCUACUUUUCAUCCGCUUUGAAACCUCUCAAGUAGAUUAAGAGUAAGGUGGCAUUUUUGUAAUUUUCAACAAAUGUAGAGUUGGAGCUUAAAGAAGGGUUUUAGCUCAUUUUUCAAGACCUAUCUUCUAUCUUAAAUAUUAUCCAUUCUUAGUUUUAGGGUUUAGUAAUUUCUUGGAGCUUGGAGCUUGAAUUUACACUAAUUUAAGGUAAGAUUUAAUUACAGGAACUCCAAAGUAUAGAUUUGGCUUUGUCUACUGAAGAUUCAUUUGAGUCUAAAGUGUGGUUUGUCCUGUCUUUAUUUUUCUUAUAAAUAACUUUGAUGGAAAUCUUGGUAUAUCUGUUUUCAUUAUCCUUAUGAUGUGCUAGAUCUAUCUCUUGGGGUUAUGCUUGAUUAGGGUGCAAAUGUGUGUGGGUUGUAAUGUAUUUGUGUAGAUUCUAGUUUGUUAAUGAUGGGUUCUACUAUUGCUUGAUUAUAUUGGUUGGGAUUUGUGGGUGAAAGCCCCAAAUACCCAAAUGAGUUUGAUGGGUAAAAAUCUCAGGCUCUUGAAAGCUCAAACCAUCCUUGAAAGAGGGAUUUGGGUGAACUUUUGGAACCCACAUCAUCCUUGAAAGAGGGAUGUGGGAACCUAGGUAAUAGUAGACAAUUUAUAGGCAUAGUUUGCUAAUUUUCACUAUCUUAGACAUAAGGGUGAUUAUGAGGUUGACUAUACCUUGGGUAUCAUCGUAGAAAUAGGGAUGCCCAAUUGAGGUUUUGGGUGAAAUUGUUGGCAACACCAAUGAGGUAUUCGAAAGAAUUCAUGGGUGACAUUUUUGAUAUUUUGUUGAAAGGAUAACAUCGAAAACCUCUAAUCUAGCUUACCCACUCAUGCACUAACUUGAAUUGGAUGUUACUUUCAUAUAUCUACACAUUCUAACUUGCUUUUAGGAAAGCAUAACCCCAAGAUCUAUGCCUAAUUGAUUAAGCUCUAAUUAUUCUUAGUCUCAAAUUAGUUGCUUAGAAGACCAAGAAUUGCUUUCGCAUUCGAAAACAUUGAAAACCCCCAAACCAUUUUGUACCAUAGUUUUAAACUUAGCAAGCAACUAUCAUUUCAAACAUACUCAAUAGCCACUCAUAUUGUUCCUCGUGGAUACAAACCCCGACUCUUAGUUGUGUAAAUAUAUUGACGAUGAUCGUCUUACACUUAAAUUAAUACGUAAGUUGAGUGUUAUCAGUAAACAACAAAUUAACAAUGAGUUGGGCAAAAUUUUACAAAAAUCAACCAAGUGAACUUUUUUUAGAAUUCUUUUUGUCAAUUUCUAAUUCGAAAUGUAUAGUUGAUUUAUAGCUCUUGUUGAUUUACAUGUCCCUGACAAAAAUAAUCAACGAAUUUGGUUAUGAAAAUAUAGUUUUGUUUCUUUUCUCCUUCAGUAGGUUGCGUCGCCUAAGAAGUUUGACAAACUGGUAGAGAGCAAAAGCUCUUGAGAUACAUGAUAAGCUUCGGUUGACCCUAAUCCUUACACGACAAGCUAAAAUAAAAUAAAGAAGUAGAAGAUAAUAUGUUCCCAAUAGUUCAAAUUGAUAGACCACAUGAAGCACCAAAAGAUUGAAUUUUGAAACAGUAAAUCUCAUAUCACUAAUCUUAAAGAAUCAGAAUGAAAAUCACUUUUAACAUCAACAAUGCAUAUGUUAGGAAAAUCACAAACAAUGUAAUACUUAAAUUACAAACUUUUAGAUGUAUCUAACCUUUUUGGGUAACAAAAGAUGGCUCUCGUAUCAAUAAAGUUGUUUAUCUAUGUGAUCAAACAUCUAGCUGAGUGUGCAAUGCUUCAUUAAUGGGUAUAGCCAGCAGACAUGCAUGUACUUAUUCAAGUUUUUUAUUACGUCACCAUGAUAAAAUAGUUGUCGUUUAUCCGGCGACAAUUGUAUAUAUCGCUCAUGUUGCCUCAACUUGAUUUUAGAAGUUCUCUUCAUUGAGUAGAUGUGCUUCUUUUUUGGGGAAGAACAAGUAGGCAUCGAAGGUUUUUUAUCCUCCAGCAUCUGUGUUAUGAACAGUGUAUACAUUUUCAACCACACAUCUUUUAACAUUGACAUAAGAAGUCAUAACUCUGAAAUUUAACGUACUUCUGCUCAUGACAUGAACAUACAAAAGUAAAGAUUUUUCGUGCAACGUUGUGAUAGAAGUAGAGCUCUUUUGUCAGGUGCCAAUUGUGUAAAUCAUUCAUGUCACCUAAACCUGACUUUAGAAGCUUUCUUAUUGUGUAGUGACACUUCUAUUUUUAGAGUAGCAACCUAGCACUGCAGAUUUUUACUGGUAGACAUUUAUAUUGCGAACAAGCAUAAGUCAAAAUUUUCACUUCCAAGCAUACAACAUUUGUACAUAUGUUCAAAUUCCUCUAUCAUUUCUUUCAGCUAAGGUCAAAAACUUAACUAUAAAAUAAGAAGAAGUUAAGUUGGCAUAGGGAAAAUGAAAAUAAUUUUGGAAAAAACAGUAGCAUAUAUUUUGGAGUGUUACCAAGUUUCGAGCAUAUGAAGAGUCGACAAAAGUAGAUCGAUAAAAGGAGUCCUCGAACCUUGUUAUUCCUAACAAACUAAAGUACUUCCGUCAUUUUUGUCUUACUUUUUUCUUAGUAGACUCUACAUAUCUUUAGUUUAAACUAUAAGAUUUAAAAUUUUUAUAGGAAAAGACAAUGAACUAAAGCUGAAGGAAAGUAGGAAACUGAUUAAUGGGAAGCUUGCUUCUUUUAAGACUACAAGAUUUAAAAAUUUUAUAGUAAAAGACAAUGAACUACAUCUGAAGGAAACUGGUUAAUGGAAAGCUUGCUUCUUUGAGGAAUUUUCUCAUACAUUUAGACAUCAAAUCAAACACUAAACUUUAUGUGGAGUAAAUUGAUAUUGUCAAGAAAAAAACAAAAAUAUAAAGGGUGAAAUCAACUCAAAAAGAUGGUUGAAACGGGAAACCAUUACCUGAAAUCAGCCAAAGAAGCAGAGACAAAUCAUAAUAAUAGAUUGAGAUGACGAGAGUGUGAUGAAGUAGAACAACUGAGAGAGAUGAUGAGAUAUUGGCACUUUGUUUUCUCAAUUCUCAUACCUACAUGUAUACCAACUGAAAGGACAACUGAACACGUAGCAAAUUCACUUCAAAUGAUGAAAAUAUCCCUUGGGCAAGCAGGCAAGACAAUCGUGAGGUACCUAUUUUAGGACUCUUGUAUAGUACAAUAAUUCGUCUUUCAUCUUUCGUCCUAUAUUAGUUGUUAACAAUACUAAAAAUAUUCACCUCAAACAUUAUAUUCAGAUGCACUACAGGAAAUAAAGAAAAGUGUAAUAGGAAGGACCCAUAUUCAUAAAAGGGUAAAAUUCAUAAGUAGCAUACUUAAGAGCCUAAUUACUAGUUUUAUAGCAACAGUUUCAUAAUUACAUUUUAUAGCAACUUUUAUUUUGUAUUUUUUUAAAAUGUUGCUAUAAAAAUACAUCUACAAAAAAAUCACUGCACUUAAUUAACUGAAAUUAGUUGAGCUAUAUAUGGUAUAAUUACCAAUCAAGUAAAUAUGUUGAUUCCUUUUCCAUUUAAAACACUUAAAAAAUGUGACAUCCGUUAUAAUCAAAUAAUUCAAAUUUUAGUUUUUCACCAUUAACAGCUGCAUUUUUUGACAAUUUCUUCUAAACCAACCCUGUAUUGCUUAAUCAAAUUGAACUGAUUCUUAUGCGAAAUUAACAGCAAUUGCAAAACGAAUCAGUUAUUCAAUUGAAUCAAAUUCAAUUGUUGAUUCAUCUAUUAUAUUUGUUUGAAUUCAACUGUCAGUUAAAAAUUUAACCAUUACUGUUGUUCAAGGUACAUAACCAUUAUUGCUAUUCAGUUCACUUUUUUUUACCAUUACUGAUGUGCUUAUCAUGUUUUGAUUGUCGUCGUUAAUUUGUAUAUGAAAAAAUUGAAAAACAAAUUAUAGUUAUAAUCAAGACAGCAGUAAAAUUGAAAUUCAAGUAUCUGUUGCAAAUUUCAUCUUUAAAGUAGUUUCAAUGGGGAAAAAAUCAGUAUUCGACUCUAUUUUUUAUGAUCGUUUGUUGUUAUAUUGAUUGUUUUAACAAUAGAAUAAUUGUAAACAACUUUCGAAUUGAAAUACAUUCAAUUUUUUUUUGAAAUACUAGAUAAUUGAUUGAACGAAUGUUUCUAUUGAAGUUGACGUUAUUCUAUGAACCCAGAUAAAAGUAUAAAAUAUCUUCAUCUUUAUGUAUUUUUGAUGUGUUUAAUGAUAACACUGCAUAUGUAUUUUUGAUAUUGUUAAUGGUAAUGGUGCAUAUGUAUUUUUUGUUUUGUUUUAGGAAUUUUGAUAUAUAAAUGUAUAUUUGCAAAAAUAUUUUAGUUUAAGGUAAUCUUGUGUGUAUGUAUUUUUUUAAUUGAGAUGUUGGUUGUGUAUCUUUGUUUGCACGUAAAUCUAAAAAGUGCGUGUUAUAAGAAGGGAUAUUUGACAAAUUGGUAUAUAAAAUAUCAAAUUACAAAUUAUUUAUGCUCCAAAUGUAUUUUUUUGAUAUGCUUCGUUUUAACACUACAUAUGUAUUUUAUAUGCGAUAUAUGUAAACACUGCAUAUGUAUUUUUGUUUUGCUUGUGGGAAUUUGAGAGUAUAAGUGUAUAUGUGAUAAUAUGUUUGGUGUCUAUUUUACUUUCGUUUGAUCAAAUAGUUUGUGUAUUUUGUAUUUUAGAAAUAGAAAGCAUACCAGUCCUUGUGAAGUACUCUGAUCGAUGGACGUACGAAAAGAACUUCGAAGAAUAUGUCACUGAUGCUAUACUGUUGAGCACAUCAGCCACAUUCAUUGAGCUGCACGAUGUUUUGGCAUCUCACUUAAGUGAGGAUUUAACCAUCAAACGUAUUCUAGUGUAAUAUCAAAUCACUCCUAAUGCAAGGCAGAUAGAAAUACAUAACGAUAUGGGUUUAAAAGUGUUUAUAUUGCAGAAAAAGUUGAUACAAGACAUGAAUUGUCGUCCUUUAUAUGUAAGCCUUUUGGAUAAAGUUGUAGGGAGCAACUUGGCAAGUUCAUCUAUAUGUGUUGCUAAAAGAGGAAUCAACUGUAACAACUUGGAAACAGUGAUAAAUACAACAAAUGAAGGACCUUUGGUGGUUUGUGAAAAUACAGAAGCUUUAGAUGUUUUUGAGAUGGAUCCUGUCGAGGUGAUUAUCUCAGACCCACAUCAUAAGCAUGUUGAGGAAGACCAUGUUUACUUGAGAAAAAGAAUUUUAAAGUCAGCCAUGAAGGACUAUUCAAUUAGGGAGAAGUUUCAAACGCGCAGUAAAAGGUCAAGUAAGAAAACGUACAUACAUUCUAUAUCUCUCAGAUCUUGUUUAAUAUUAGUUUGGAUAUGUAGUUUUAAUGUAAUAAAUUAUGUUGUGUGUAGGUAUAUAUUAUUUUGCAAAUUAAGAAACUGUGAGUUUUUAAUGCGUGCAUCAGGAAUAGGAGAAACGGGAAUGUUUAGAAUAAUAGAAUUCAGACCUCAAUGUACAUGCCCGGUGAAGGACAAUAUCUAUCCAAAGGUGCAUCCAACUAGUAUAUAGAUAGUUGGUAUGGUUAAACAGAAAUUCAAAAACCACAAAAGAAAAUACAGUGCGACGAAAAUAAAAAAUGACAUGAAGAAAGAUUUUGGUAUGGAUUUGACAUACACUUUAUGUUGGAGGGCAAAGGAAAGAGCGUUAGAAGAAUUGAAGGGUAAGCCAUCAGCAUCUUAUGGGAAACUGCCAUCAUACUUAUAUGUUCUAAAUACUACCUAUCCGAAUUCACAUAUAAGAAUGAAGAAGACAAAUGAUAAUGCGUUCUUGUAUGUAUUUAUCGCUCUACAUGCAUUCAUUAAAGGAUUCGAUCAUUGUAGACCAUUCGUAGUUGUUGAUACUAGUCAUUUGAGAGGAAUGUAUACUGGGGCAUUUAUAACAGCAUAUACAACGGAUAGAGCAGGUUAGUAUCAUUUAAUUACUAUAACUGGUUGUAUUUUUUUGGCUUUCUAUUGUAGAGUUGAAAAAUACAUAUAUCCAAUUCAUAAAUACAUAUGUGUGUAUAAUUAGAUAUAUGUUCAAAGUUUUCUAAAUGAAACAUGUAAAAUUGAUUAUGUUUGAUAGUGAGGUUGAUGUAAAUUUUAUUAUAUGUAAUUGAUACAAUUUACGGUAGAUAAAAUAUACAUUUUAAUUGAACUAUAUUGUAAUAAAUACAUAUGGAGUUCCUAACUGUAUUUAAAUCGGCCUGCGCAGUUUUUUUUAUAUGCGCAGGCUCUAUAUUUUCUUUGGCAUAUGUUGUGCUUGAUUCUGAAAAUUAUGAAUUAUGUAUACAGGUCAUAUAUUUCCUUUGGCAUAUGGUGUGCUUGAUUCUGAAAAUGAUGCAUCUUGGACGUGGUUCUUCAAGAAUCUAAAGGAAGCGUAUGGGGUUAGACAAAACAUGUGUGUUUUGUCUGAUAGGAAUCCAAGCAUCAUAAAGGUUGUUGGUGAUGUGUAUGAAGAUGUUCCACAUUAUGCAUGUAUGUGGAAUCUAUGGGGUAAUAUGAAAAAACUUUACAGAAAGUCACACGAUGCAUUGUUGGAGAUAUUUUAUACAAUGGCCAAAUCAUAUUAAAAUUCAGAAUUUCAUAUGUUAAUGGAAAAAGUUGAGGCAGCUGAUACAAGGGUGAAGAUAUAUUUUGAAUUGGCCGGUUACGAAAAGUAGGCUUGGUCAUAUGCAAUAUUUCACAGAGGAUGGACUUUGACUUCAAACAUUUCAGAGUCAAUAAAUGGAGUGCUUGUAUCAGCUAGAGAACUGUUAAUUUAUGACUUUCUUGAGGAAGUUCGAUUACUGUUUGCAAAACAGAAUUGUGCAAAUAGGCAGGAGUCUUCAUAUACCUUCACAACACUCAUUAGAAAGUUUAAUGACAUACUUAGUGAGAACGAGGCUUUGUGUACCUGUAUGACGGUAUGACCUUUUUGAUUUGUGGAAAUUUUAAUUAUGGAAACAUAAAUAUGAAAGGAUAAAAUGCAUAAAGUAUCAAUGUGAAAAUACUUUCCAUGCAGUUGUAAAUAAAUAAAAAGAUAUAAAACAUAAAAUAUAUGAACAUUUAAAAUACAUAAUAUGUAUUUUGCAUAUGUAUAUUGUUGUAUUGAAAAUUACUAAAAACUGCAUAUGUAUUUGACUGCUCUGUAAAAAUGUAAUCUGCAUAUGUAUUUUUAUUACAUAAAUAUUUUUUAUUUUUAUGUUAGGUUGUACCAGCCACAGAAUAUAUAUAUACGGUACACGACAAACAAAAGUACUUCAUUAUUUGCAUCAAAGAAAAGAAAUGCUCAUGUAAUGUUUUUCAAAUAGAUGAGAUACCAUAUGCACAUGCUUGUGCGGUGUUAGAGAAAAAAAAUUUUGAGAAGGGGCCAUACUGUUCUGAUUUGUUUAAACCAAAACAGUUUUGAAGACAUAUGAUAUUCCAAUCUACCCGUUGCCACACAGCGAUGGCUGGAUAAUUCCAAAGAACACACUUGCUGAAAUAGUACUGCCUCCAAAAUACAAAAGACCUCCAGGAAGACCUGCAAAGAAGGAUCGUGGAAAAUCAGGACGGGAUAUGUUUGGAAAAAAGAAUAUCAACUCAUGUGGUGGUUGUGGGGCUAAGGGUCACAAUAGGCGCUCNNNNNNNNNNNNNNNNNNNNNNNNNNNNNNNNNNNNNNNNNNNNNNNNNNNNNNNNNNNNNNNNNNNNNNNNNNNNNNNNNNNNNNNNNNNNNNNNNNNNAAUCAUUUGACAAUUAAAGACAGUAAUAUCUGAAUAAUGGAGCUAUAUAUGUUUCAAAAUCUGUAUAUUACAUAUGUAUUUUUAAGCAGCAGUUCAUAUGUAUUUUUGACAUAGUAAAUAUAUGUUAGGUUAAAGGUGGUAACUUUGAUUAACAAAACAAGUAUAUGAUUCGUAAUUGUUCAAAGUUUUAAAUAUAUGUUUGAAUUGCAUAAUGUUAUUACUGCAUAUGAAUUUCUACUGUAAAAAUACAUUUGAUGUAUAAUACAUAUGUAUUUUUAAAAAAAAAGUAUAAUCACUGCAUAUGUAUUUGGUAACUAUAGACAAACCUAUAACUUCAUAAAAAAAGUCAAAUUUAUCUUUAAUUCAAAUUCUCAAGUAUAAUUAUUUUAAAUGAACACAUAUCAAAAAUUAAAUAUUAGGUUUGAUCAAUAUGUAUUUUUCAACAUCUUUAUAUUAACAUGAAAUAUGUAUUUUUUGGGGAAAUAUUUAUAAUGUAUAAUCCAUAUGUAUUUUAUAGCAAAAUAUCAACACUGCAUAUAUAUUUUUUAAAUAUCUGCAUUAAAAUGUCAAAUUACACUUUAAUUUAAAUCCUAAUUUAUAAUUAUAGUUAAUGAAAAUAUAGUAAAAAUGCAUAUUAGGUAUGUUGCAGUGGCAUUUUUUAAGUGUUUGUUUCUAAUAUUUCAUAUGUAUUUUUUUGCUGAAUAACAAUUGAUUUAUACUACAUAUGUAUUUUUAAGGAUAGGAAUAUGGUGAAAAACUUUAAAGAAUAACAACAAUAUCUUAAAUACAUAUUAGGAAUGGUCCAUAUGUAUUUUUGCAAUAUUUGAUUUUAACACUGAAUAUUUAUUUUUAUACGAUAUAUGCAUUUGUAAAUGUAAAAUACAUAUUUGUUCAUCUAAAAACAAAAGAUAUUUAUUUUUAAGGCAUAAAAAUUUCUGUAUAUGUAUUUUCAGAAUAAUAUGAACAAUACAUAUGUAUUUUACAACAAAAUUACACACUAAAAUGAAGAACAAUAUAAAAGACUCAUAUUAAACUUGAAUUAGUACUAUUAUAAUCUACAAUUAGAACCACUUCAAAACAUCAAAAUUAGUUUGUAUAAUCAGUUCCUACAUUCAUAAACCAUCAGUCAUCAUACAUCAAAAACUUCAGUUACACUAGUUAUUCUACUUUACUUUAGAGGCCUCAAAGGUGCUUCAACAUCACCAUGAGUAUUUAAUUCUUGCUUUAUGGUCCCAUAAUCCCACAAAGUUGCAGCAUAUCUUGUACAGAGUGCAUUGGGGUCGAACUCAGUCGCAAGAAUUUUGUGACCAUAAGAAAGACACUCUGCAUAUGUAACUAUAUAGACACCACAAUCCCUACAAAAAAAAUAAAAAAAAUAAAAAAAACACAUAUGUGCUUAAAUAUAUAUUUUUAAAAAAUAGAUUUUUGUUAUAUAUAAAUUAAAUAACUUACAAGCUUCCGCUCGGUUGUUGAGGCAAAUUCUCUUGAAAUAACACAUCAAACAUAUCUGAGGAGUCUUUGUCUUUGUAUCUUGGAUGGUUUUCAACAUGAAUUCCUUUCUUAACGUAGAAAUCACAAUGUUCAAGACACAAUGGGAUAAUCGCAGCUAAUUUCUCAAUGACAUUAAGAAUAGCCGAAUAAUGUUCAGAUGAUUCAUAUGAAUCAUAUAGGAAUAUGCACCUCUCUGAGAAAGAUAAAAUUGCUAGCACCCAAUGAUGUUUUUCCUUUAUAUUUACUAGAAUAUAAAUGUCUUCCACUGUAUGCCAUGGCACAGCAGCAUGCAUACGAAAUCCAUUUAUGUAUUCAUUAACAUAUGCCACAUGUCCUCCAGCCAUAAGGUUUUCAGCAUCCCCAAAAUAAACAUCAUGGAAAGAGCUAAUUAUGUUCAUAAAGUUGCAAUCUACUGUGCUGAAUUUGUAAGACCUGUUGGGGUCAUACUUUAACUUCUUCCUCAAGUAGUAGAAGCAAACAUCAAUAUGCUGCAGUACGUAAGAACACAAAAAUUUAAUAUAAUUCAAACUAUUUGUAUACUACAUGUAGCAUGUGUAUGUUUUAUAAAAAUACAUAUGUAAGUUAUAGUGCAUCACAUCCUUUCUUAUAUAAUAAAAAAUUACAUAGAAAAAUACAUAUUUUCACCUGUAUAUGUAUUUACUAACAUAAUAUGCAAUUUAAUUACUGCUAUAAAUGUAAAAAAAAAUAUUGUUAAAAAAAAUACUAACCGAGUCGGUCCAUGACUGAUCAGGGAACCCCAUUAUGUAGAACCAGUUUUUAUCUUCAACAGUCUCAAUUCUGAAAUGCAUCAUUGGAAUGGUUGAUUUCCCCCUUUUGUAAUGAUCCGCAUUUUCCUUCCUAUUUUUUGUUGUUAAUAAGUAUAUGUUAAAUGUAAUUUUAAAAAAAUAAAAUUAAAAAUGUUCAAUAGAAAUACCUUUUAGCAUGAACUUCGAGAAGGUCUUCAGAAAUCCAAUCCCUAAACUUGUUGACAAUUUUCGUAUCCACAAUCCCAUCAAUCGGAUGAUAAACAAAUGGAUGUUUCUGUGGGAAUAUACGUAUAUGUCCUUCCGAGCUCUCUAUAUAGUUACACAAUACAAAAACGUAAUUAUUAAAAAGUAUUUGCAUAACAUGUUACAUUGUAAACUAAAUAUAUAACUAAUUGUACUUACCGGCAGCUGAACCAAAUUUCAUCGUGUAAGUUGACUCUUUGAAUUUGAAUGGUCGCCUAAUCCUUAACUUAGCAAUAGGAGUUUGAAUUUCACGAUUAGCAGAGGGAUGAACAAUAAUGCUUUUACUACUGUAUACAUUCAAAGUAGGAAGCAAGUCAUCAAGGAUUGUGUCUUGUGAAUCAGGCAAAACUGUUUCAUCCCUUUUUUCAUCAAUGGUUAAGUCUUGUGUUUUAGGAGUUGUCAUAAUCUACUCCUCCGUACCAACAUCAACCUCUUCGUGCAUGUCUGCUUUAGAGCUCGAACCAACUUUCUCUUUAUUUUUCUUCAAAAUUGGAAAAAAAAUAAUUUUUUAUGUCCAAAAUAACCCACAUAACCUCAAAUAUAUUCAUAAUACAUACCUGACAAUGCUCUUGAACAACAGAUUUGGACUUCUUAUUAUUAAAAUAUUCAUCAAUUUGUUCUUCUUCUGAAGUUGCCAAUGGAUGUCUCAUGGUGCUUUCUCUUCGGUAUGCUUUAAGACUUAGUAACAACUCAUCUGGGAUUGUAAACUGCGAAUCAGACAAAUUUGUAUCAUCCAAUUUCUCAUCAGUAAUCUUCAAUAGAAAUAAAAGAAAAUAUAUAAUUGUCUUAUGGAUUGUUAUGAUUUUUACAUCACAUAAACUGAAGUGUAAUUCAUUAUACAUACUCGAUCAUCGUGAUGAACAAUCUUCUCAGAAAGAUUAUAAUCCAAAUUUAUACUUUGGAGAAGCUCAUCAGGGAUUAAAUAUUGAGAAUCAAUUUGAAUGUUUGUUUUAUCUGGAUGCAAAUCAGUGCACCCCUUGCAAACAAUCAAAGAAAUUAAACCAACUUCAAAAACAAAAAUCCAGUUGUAUAUAUUUAUACAGGAUUAUAUAUAUAAAAUAACAUAUAACUGCUAUAAAAAAGUAAUUACAUUUGUGCACUCAAAAUAAUAAUAAUAUUUUCAUUAUUUUUUACCUUUGUACCAUCCUGAUUCUCAUCCAAAUUUUGAUCAACAAUAGGACUGAAUUGUUGUGGUGAUGUUUCAACACCAGUAUAAUCUAUCUGUUGUGCCUCAACCUCUGUAUCUUCAUGUUGUUGCUACAAGUAUAAUUUGAAUAAACUACUAUUAUUUGAUUUCACUUGAUAUGUAUAUAGCAACCCACUGAAAAAAAUACUGUUGGAAAAUACAUUUCUUGACACACAGCAUAUGUAUUUUGCAAUACAUUGCAUAUGUAUUUUUUCAAAAUAAACAAAUAUGUAUUUUUUGAAUAAACUUCAUAUGUAUUUUUAGUAAUAUACUGCAUAUGUAUUUUUUACAAACUCUAUGUGUGUAUUAAACAAAAUACAUUUCAUAUGUAUUUUUUUAUAUCAAAUCAUAUGUAUUUUUUGUGUAAACUCCAUAUGUAUUUUUAGCAAUGUACUGCAUAUAUAUUUUUUCAUAUACUCUGCAUAUAUAUUUUUUUAAUAAUGUGGAUAUUAUAUAAUAAUAAAACUUUUACCUUGCUAUGUUCAGUUGCUUUAACCAUUUUUUUGAACUUUUUCUUCACUAACUUACGAAUUCGAGUAAACUCUUGACGAACCUGUAUUCAUACAAAUUCAUUAAAUACAUAUUUUUUAAUGUAAAACAAACAUUUGACAAAAAAAAUUACCUUUUCGCGGAUGCAUCAAAAACUUUCUUAGAAAUAAAUUUUUCUUUCUCAACAUGACUCUCACGCUUUGACGCGGCUACUUCCUCUACAUGACUAUCUGCCUUUGACUGUACCUGAGGAAAAAUAACCCUAACUGUUUUUUUUCCUUCCUUUAUUUUUGAAGAAGAAGCUUGUCGUGUUGGAAUUGGCUUGAAUACUGGUGUCUUCAUUACAGCAGCCUUGGCAGCACGAUGAGGUAGAGUCCUCGUUUGGGUAUGUGCGUCACCAAUAUUCACUUGCUUUUUCCCUGCAGGUUCCUUCGCUACUGGGGUUGAUGAAUUCACCUUCUGUUUUUUCUUUGAACGUUCGUUGAUCUUCUUUGGUGGUGGAUCCUGAAAGUCAUCGUCAGAAUCAACUAAACAUUCAUCUUCAGUUACAUCCUUCUUUGGUAUUUCAAGCUUUGCCAUUUCCAUUUCAGUUGGCUCUAUGUUCUUAAAUACAACCUACGACUAUGUUAAAUAAUAUUCUAAAGAAAUGAAAAUGAAAUAGAACAUAUGUAUACAGUACAUAUCAAUGCAUAUAUAUUUGUUCACAACAAACCUUGCUAUUGUCCUUGAACAUAGCAUUCAUCAAAAACUCAUAGCGUGAACGAGGUGCAAUCGUCUUCCAAUUUAAUAAUCGGAAAAUCCAAUUCUCAACUUUCAAUGCAAUCUUUGGUGGGACAUUUGAACAACACUCAUAUAGCUACACUUGAAUAGCCAAUGACAUUCCCUGAAUCAAAUAAAAUUUGCCCCCAGCUUUCAGUCGGUUGUUCAAACUUCUAGCCAGAUCUUCAAAAGAUAAAGAACCCCAUGGAAAAUCCUUAUAUCUACCACUAUCUAUCAAAUCAAAAUAAAGACGGGGUAUAACAACAAUGUCAAUGUUAGACAACACAAAUGAAUGUAGGAAAUACAGAAUUGUAAAUUUCUCAGUAUCCUCAUCAUUAUUCUCCCCCCAUACUUUUUCCGUGAAUGCUAAAAAUAGUUGUCUUUUCUGUAUAAUUUCUGCCCCAUUGAAAUGCUUUUCAAUCAUCCUAUUUGGUACACCCUCAUCAAAAGUAAAGUCAUACCUAUUAGACACACAAUUCAAUCCGGUUAUGAUAGCAAAUUCCAUGGGAGUAAAACUAAGAGAGGUGCCAUUAGCAGAUAUCAUAAUCCCAGAAGAAGAACUACCCUUCACCUCAAGUGUCAUAACAUAUCUACACAACUGUGCUUGCACUACACAUUGCUUCUUCUUCAUAAAAUAACCAAAAAUGUUAUUCUCACAAAAGUUUUUAAACUGUUCCUUGUAUAAAAUUACGCGUAUGCUUCCAUAAAUAUCAUUGUCACUGUAUGAGCACAUGUGCGGUGCAAAUUUUGAAAGUUUUCUGACAAGGAAUAUUUCAUCCCGCAUCACCUAUACAAAGUAAAACUACCACUUCUUAAUAUGUACACAAAAUUCAAUCAAACAAAAAAAACAUAUAGCAUGCAUAUAUAUUUCAGAUGAUUAAAAUGCAUAUGUAUUUUGAUCAACUCAUAAAUGAAACCAACACUGAAAAAUACAUAUCAAAUGUACUAAAAAUACAUAUAAACAAUAGACUGUUAUGGUAUUUGAACUAAAAUAACUUGCAUAUUUAUUUUAACAUUGUAAAAUAUACAACAAACACUGAAAAAAAUACAAAUACUCAAUAUGCAUAUCAACUAUGUUAAAAAAACAUAUAUGUCAAAAUUAUUCAACUAUACUAAAAAUACAAUUCAACUAUACUAAAAAUACAUAUCACCUAUACUAGAAAAAUAUAUAUCCAAAAUACUAUUAAUGAGUAGUUAAUUUCAACAAUAUAUUUUCACAUAAUCCCUAAAUAUCAUCAUAACAGAAAAUACAUAAUUACUUGAACACUAAAAAAAAAUACAUUUUAAAAUAAAAAUAUACCUCUUCCUCACUUUCUUCUUCAGAUUCAUCAUAAGAUUUCUCAACCUUGUCUUCAAUUUCUUUAGAUUUCCUUUUCUUCUCGAGUUGUUUUUAAGUUUUUUGUUCCUUUGGAGAAGGAGUUUUAUUCAACCCUUUUCUUUUUAAAAUUUCCGUCAUCUUCACUUCGUCGAUACAGAACUUCGACCUAAUCUCUUUCGAUAUACCAAAUUUCCUCAACUGUAAGGGAUUUGAAACAACAGUUACUAAAUAUUCUUGAAUUAACUCAAGACUAAAUGAUGGUGCAUUAUACACUAAUUUCAUAUUCCUUGUACCACUGUUUAUAGGUGCUUUUGCAGUGUGUUCAUCCAUUAAAACACAAAACCCUUAAAAAUUAAUUUUUCGAUGAAUUAGAGUAAGCCAAAAAAAAAUCGCUCACAUGCAAAAUACGAUUCCUAAUUACCUGAAAUAUGGGAAGCAAAUCCUUAUCACAUAUCGUGCAAGAAUCAUGCAAAAUGCAAUAAGAUUGAGGAGAGAGUGAUGGUUAAUAGCGAAAAAAUAGGAAAAAAAAAUUAAUUAAGGAAAGAUAAUGAAGGAGGAGUGAAAAGGGGGAUUUUCUCACAGUAAAAAAUUUUAACGGCUGUCACGCCCCAAAUCCUAUUAAGGCGGACUGGCACCCGUUGCCGGUAAGGCUCGGGAGAACCAACCUGUAGCAAUAUAUUACCUAUGAACAUUAUAAGUUCCUUUCAUACUAAACAUGCCCUCAAAAGAUAAAUAGGACUAGCAAGUCAAAAGAUAUUAUAUGACUAGGCCGUUGGAGCCACAAUGUCUACGAUACGAUACAUGACCAUACUAUACUUUACGUAGUCUACAAAGCCUCUAGACAAGAAACGUUAUCUUAUAAGGGUCGGGACAGGCCCCGCCUCAUGAUAAGAUACUAUACAAUGCAAAAAGAUAUGAUAAGACUCAAAGCCCCGAAGCAACCUGGAGCUCAGUGACUGCGGUUGAUAUCCUGUACUCUUACUAGGGAGGUUUAUUAGCUUCUGUACCUGCAGCAUGGAAUGCAGGUCCCCCAAGAGGGACGUCAGUACGAAAUAAUGUACUGAAUAUGUAAGGCAACAUGUACUAUAUAUGAGAUAAAAACUCAAAUGAAACCAUGUACUGCUGUAGGGUAAAAGACCACCUUUAUGAAUAUUGUGGAGUCAUGUAUCUUAUAACAAUUAUGUUACUUUACUCUUAUUACUUGAAUAAUCUGUGCACAGCAUGUAAUACAAAUGACCAGCUGAUCAGUGGUAAUUCUAUAUCAGGAUCGACCCAUGCUAGGCUUUCCUUUCACCCCUGGGAUACCCCCUGUAAUACUGGGAUUGACCCAUGCUAGGUGAUUCUUUCACCCCUGGGAUACCACCCAACAGAAGCAACUGUAUACAUAUAUCUUCUUAUUACUUUUGAGAUGAAUCUUUGGUGGUCGUAACAUUUGAGCUAUAAGACUAUAAGCAUGACAAAUGACAAGUAUGUGUCCAUGUAACAUCAUAUCAUAAUGAAAAGAGUGGGUUGUACAAUUAGUGAAACAUGUAGGACAUAAACAACGUAUGAACUUUAUUUAGCUAAAAAGAAGACUCAUAUGUCAUGGUACCCAAUGUAUGUAUGCAGCAGUGACAAUGCUCGAAUCUGGACACACAAGUACAUGUUAAAGAGUGGAGUGGUUAUGUCAAAGUUUGUAAAGAUCUCUAUGUGCCAAUGAAGACUUUGGAUUCCAUGCCAAAUAAUAAGAGAUCGAAUAGCCUUACAUACCUCGACAUAUCAACUUGUUUUUACGUCGAAAUGACUUCUUUUCUUCCAACUAUUUAUCUACAAUAUCAUGUUUUAAAGCUAGUAUUAGCAGCUAAUCAAUGCAUCUGGACAGCCCAAUCUCACAAGACACAACACUUUGGCAACAAACGUAUAACCAUCAACUCAAUGGUGUUAUUCCGACUUUCUCAAUUCUAACUGUAUUCAACCAGCAUAGAUUAUCAUAUACAUGAUGUAUACAGCCUAUAUUAGUUCUAUAACAUGCUGGCAACAGUCCAUAACUACAACACAUAACCAUUUUACAAAACGCUCAACUAAGAAGCACAACAUCUCGUCGUCUCCCUACAUUUCGUCGUUAACAAUUCAUACUUGUCCCAACUUUGAACCAGAUGCUCCCAACAUAUAUAUACAUCAAAUAAACCUUAACAUAGUCACAAAAUAGCUCAAAACGUAGGGGAAACGUGAAACAACAUCCCCCUCAACAAAACAGUCCAAUACCAGUUUGGAAGCACAUAAGAUCAUAUAAGGAUACUUGUUUCCAAAGAACUAGCAAAACAGUCCAGCAACCUUGGCAACCAUAUACACACUAUAACAUGUUAAUAACCUCAACUUUACAUCAUAUUAAAGUGAAAAAUCAGGGUAAAAAUCGUUCCAAAGCCAAGAAAACCAAACAACAACUUUCAGGACACAAGCUGUCCAGAAAUUCCUGCACAGUGAACCAGCCAACUUAUCUUGUUUUCCAUGGAAAAUUCAUAUCAAGUAUAUGGUUAUUUUUACAUACCUUAACUCCCAAGGUGUAGGUCUAAUUCAAGAACUCAAAAAGUAGCCUUUGGUUGCCUUCCAAGGUGAAGAAAUACCAAGAGAAACUUAGAGAGAAAUUCUGAAAUUUUUUGGUCUUUUCUUUGGUUAACCUAGAGCUCGGUUUUGGUCCCUUUUUAAGGAGACUUUAGACCGACUUUCUCCUAAUAUUUGUAGCUGAUUAACUCAAGUUGGUCAAUGACUAAUUUUCCCCUUUCACUUGGGCCUUUUGGAUCUCUAAAUCAAUGGGCUUUAGUGGCCCAUUUCCUUACUCUUUCUUGCACUUUGUUUGGGCUCAAUUUUGUUAGUAGUGAAUGAAUGUAGUUGGGCCUAUUAUAUAAAAAUCUUGGGCUGAACAUCUUGGCCCAAUAUAAUGUUAAACCAUUGUCUUUAAUAGCCUCCCUAACUUGGGCUUCGUUUGUCACAAGACUUGGAAAGUUUCGGCGUUAAGCCUUGUCUUCGUUCCCCUUUCUUUUUACUAACGUCUAGACUUCAAGUGAGUUCACUUAUGAAUGAAUUCUUCUCCCUCAUGUAUAUAUAAUUUUUAAGCUAAGCACACAGGUGACUCACCUGCUAGCUCCCUAAGUUCCAUAAGCAUGUCAAUGUUUUUUUUUUCCGUUUAAGGCCACAGUCUCUAAAUAGACUUCCAUAUAGUGCCCCAAUCUAACACUUGAACACUUGAAAAAUUUUGGUAGUAAUUAAAUCAAGUCGUAUGUCAUUUUAUGUGAACAUUACUAGUGCAUGUAAAAUGUGGGGUGUUAACAUCCUCCCCCCCUCGGAACAUUCGUCCCGAAUGUUAACAUAACUGUAUAGUCUAGGCAGGUUUGAAUUUCUGGUCACACAACUUUUAAUAACAUAACUAGUAUUCAAACACAUACCUAUUAAUGUUCCUCCUCUGUAUCUUUUGGUCCCUCCUUGUCUUCAAAUAGAUGAGGGUAUUUGGAUAUCAUUACUUCCUCCGGUUCCCACGUUAUCUCUUCUACUUGGUUGUUUCUCCAGAGUACCUUUACUGAUGCCAUUUCUUUGUUCCUUAACUUUUUAACUUGGCGAUCUAGAAUAGCAACCGGUACCUCUUCAUAAGUAAGAUCCUCUGUGACCUGUACAUCUUCUAUAGGAGUGAUACGAGAGGGGUCACCUAUGCAUUUUCGAAGCAUUGACACAUGAAACACUGGAUGAACCAUUGAAAGUUCCUGGGGUAGCUCUAAUUCAUAUGCAACUUGUCCAACCCUCUUGGUAAUCUUAUAUGGCCCUAUGUAACGUGGGCUUAGUUUCCCCUUCUUACCAAAUCUCAUAACCCCUUUCAUUGGUGAUACCUUUAAAAAUACCCAAUCUCCAAUAGAGAAUUCCAGCCCUCUUCUCCGAAUAUCUGCAUAUGAUUUAUGACGACUUUGGGCUGUUUUUAGCCGUUGUUGUAUCACCUGAACUUUUUCCAUGGCUUGUUGGACUAAAUCUGGCCCGAUCAAGGUGGUUUCACCCACUUCGAACCAACCAAUUGGUGACCUACAUUUCCUUCCAUACAAAGCAUCGUAAGGUGCCAUCUUGAUGCUCGAAUGGUAGCUGUUAUUAUAGGCAAAUUCAAUAAGAGGCAAGUGUUCUACCCAGCUACCUUUAAAAUCUAAUGCACAGGUUCGCAACAUAUCCUCAAGUGUUUGAAUAGUACGCUCUGCUUGGCCGUCUAUUUGGGGAUGGAAGGCUGUACUCAAAUUCACUCGCGCCCCUAAACUCCUUUGAAAGGACUUCCAAAAUUUUGCCGUGAAUUGAGCUCCUCGAUCAGAUAUAAUAGAGAGUGGGACCCCAUGUAGCCUAACUAUCUCUUUGAGGUAUAAUUUGGCAUAUUCUUCAGCUGUAUAAUCACUCCUAACUGGCAGGAAGUGCGCUGACUUCGUGAGUCUAUCAACUAUCACCCAUAUGGAGUCAAACUUAUUAACUGAACGAGGCAAACCAGUUACAAAAUCCAUAUUAGUCAUAUCCCACUUCCAAGUUGGAAUCUCUAUACAUUGCAUGUAACCACCUGGCUUUUGGUGCUCUACUUUGACUUGUUGACAAGUAGGACAUUGAGCCACAAACUCUGCUUUGUCAGUGCUCCCCACCAAAACCCUCCCUUUAGGUCAUGAUACAUCUUAGUAGAUCCUGGGUGGAUGGAAUAUCUUGAAUGAUGGGCUUCUUCCAUUAUUCUCCUUCUGAGUCUAUUAACAUCAGGCACACACAAUCUAUUUUGGCAAUAAAGUACUCCAUCUUGUGUAAGCCUAAACUCCUUCAUUAUACCCUGACUUACUUUCUCCUUAAGGCAUUGUAGAAUAGGAUCAUAACACUGUUUUUCUUUCACUUCCCUUAUCAAUGAAGAAUCGGUAGCAUUAUGUACAAUAAUAUCCUUCCUUGGAGUUUCGAGUAGACGAACACCCAGAUUGGCUAGUUGACGCAGAUCCUUAGCCAUGCCUUGCUUUACCCCUUUCUGAUCACUGGUACCCAUGAGUGUCUUACGACUUAGAGCAUCAGCCACCACAUUUGCUUUCCCUGGAUGGUAUAAUAUAUCAAUAUCAUAAUCUUUUAUUAACUCUAGCCACCUCCGCUGCCUCAAAUUUAGAUCUUUCUGCUUGAAAAUAUACUGUAAACUCUUAUGAUCUGUAUAUAUGUCCACGUGUAUCCCAUACAAAUAGUGGCGCCAUAUCUUUAAAGCAAAUACAACCGCUGCUAGCUCAAGAUCAUGUGUUGGGUAGUUUUUCUCGUGUGGUCUCAAUUGUCUCGAGGCAUAAGCAAUCACUUUACCAUGUUGUGUUAGUACACACCCUAAACCAACUCCUGAAGCAUCACAAUACACUGCAUAUCCCUCUGAGCCUUCUGGAAGCACUAGCACAGGUGCUGAGGUUAGCCUACUUUUCAACUCUUGAAAGCUCCUUUCACAUGCAUCAUUCCAUUGGAAUUUGGUUUCCUUGUGAGUUAGCUUAGUAAGAGGUGCAGAUAUAGAAGAAAAACCUUCAACAAACCUUCUGUAAUAACCUGCCAAUCCAAGGAAGCUUCGAACUUCUGUAGGUGUCGUUGGCCUUGGCCAAUCUUUCACAGCCUCUAUCUUUUGUGAAUCCACCCUUAUUCCUUCAUCCGAUACAAUAUGGCCCAAAAAUGCCACUGACUUUAACCAAAAUUCACAUUUGGAAAACUUAGCAUACAACCGACGAUCACGGAGAACUUGUAGCACUAGUCGUAAAUGAUUUGCAUGGUCCUCUUCUGACCUUGAAUACACCAGAAUAUCAUCUAUAAAUACUAUCACGAACACAUCCAGGAAAGGCUUGAACACUCUAUUCAUCAAAUCCAUAAAAACUGCUGGUGCAUUCGUUAGCCCAAACGACAUAACAAGAAAUUCAAAGUGACCAUAUCUGGUUCGGAAAGCUGUCUUAGGUAUAUCCUUUUCCUUCACUCUCACCUGAUGAUAACCUGAUCUCAAAUCGAUCUUUGAAAAGUAUUUGGCACCCUGUAACUGAUCAAACAAGUCAUCAAUUCUGGGGAGGGGAUAUUUAUUCUUAAUUGUCACCCUAUUCAGUUGUCGGUAGUCAAUACACAUCCUCAAUGUGCCAUCCUUUUUACGCACAAAUAAAACUGGUGCACCCCAAGGGGACACACUAGGCCUUAUAAAACCCUUUUCUAACAAGUCUUUCAGUUGCUCCUUUAAUUCACGUAAUUCUGCCGGGGCCAUUCUAUAUGGAGGGAUAGAGAUAGGCUCAGUGCCUGGUAAUAAGUCAAUACCAAAAUCUAUUUCUCGUUCUGGAGGCAAACCAGGGAGUUCCUCAGGAAAGACAUCAAUAAAUUCAUUCACUAUUGGAACAGACUGGAUAGUUGGUGAUUCUGCCUCCACAUCUCUCACUCUAACGAGAUGACAUAUAUAUCCCUUUGAUAUCAUUUUUCUGGCUUUAAAAUAAGAGAUAAACCUCCCUUUUGGUGCCCCAAUAUUGCCUUCCCAUUCAAGGACUGCUUCAUUUGGAAAGUGAAAGUACACUCUCUUGGUUCGGCAGUCAACGGUGGCAUAGCAAGAAGCCAACCAAUCCAUACCCAUUAUAACAUCAAAUUCUACCAUUUCUAACUCGAUAAGAUCAGCUAAUGUAUCUCGGUCGCAGAUAGUCACUAUGCAGUCACAAUAGACUCUUCUAGCUAUAAUUGACUCCCCAGUUGGUGUAGACACCGCAAGUGGUUGAUUCAAUAAUUUAGGUGUUCUACCAAGCUUCCCAGCAACUAAUGGAGUAAUAUAUGACAAUGUAGAACCAGGGUCAAUUAAUGCAUACGCUUUAUGUGAGAAGAUGGACAAUGUACCUAUAACCACAUCGGGUGAAGCUUCCAGGUUCUGUCGAGUCCCUAGAGCAUAUGUGCGAUUUUGGGCCACGCUGGAACUAGCUGCCCCUCUAAUACCUCUGCCGCGACCUAUAGGAAAUUGCUCACCUCUACCUGAUGGAGGCACUGAUGAUGAUGAUGCAACAGCUGAUCCAGUAGGGUGUGCCAUAUCGCCCCUGCGUCUUCUUGGGCAAUCUUUUAUUACAUGCCCUGGCAUACCACACCAAUAACAAACAUCUGUUCCCAUGCGACACGCACCUAUAUGAUAUCUCCCACAUUGUCUGCAAGGCUGCCUAGGAGGCAUUCGCUGGCUUCCCGAAUAUCCUGUUGUCCGUGUACCUUGGCCCUCACUUCUCUGCCCAAAUUGAUCAUUUCUAGACCCUUGAAGUUGUGGUGGAGCACUAGCUGUAGAGUAAGAGGAUGAUGGCCUGGAUGGCCUGUUAGAAAAUCGUGGCCUAAACUCACCCUGGGGUGGUGUAAACUGUCCUGUAGAUCUGGCCCUCUUGGAUUGCCCCCUUUCUAUUUCUUGUGCCCUCCUUCUUUGUCUCUGAUCCUCCAGUUUCUGUGCAAAAGCUUGCAUCCUCGCUAUAUCCAUGUCUUUAUUCAAAGAAGCAAUGGUACAAUCUCUAACCAAAUAUGAAUCCAACCUAUCCACAUACCGAUGGACUCUAUCUGCCAUAGUAGCAACAACACUAGGAGCGUACCUGGCCAGAGAAUUAAAUUUAAGACUAUAUUCCCUCACGCUCAUAUUCCCCUGAUGGAGGUUCAGGAACUGAUCUGCACGGGCCUCUCGGAUCUCUAAUGGCAAGUAAUGAUCAAGAAAGGCCAUUUUGAACUCCUCCCAAGUAGUUGGAGGUGUAUCUAUGCCUUGGAAACAGCAGAUGAGCAAUCCUUUGAAAAUAAUAAAAAUAGAUCACUCAUCGGUUGUACCAAGUAGGUUUUCUGUUGCAACUUAUAACCUACCUGUUACAGCAGAUGAGCAAUCCUUUGAAAAUAAUAAAAAUAGAUCACUCAUCGGUUGUACCAAGUAGGUUUUCUGUUGCAACUUAUAACCUACCUGUUACAGCAGAUGAGCAAUCCUUUGAAAAUAAUAAAAAUAGAUCACUCAUCGGUUGUACCAAGUAGGUUUUCUGUUGCAACUUAUAACCUACCUGUUACAGCAGAUGAGCAAUCCUUUGAAAAUAAUAAAAAUAGAUCACUCAUCGGUUGUACCAAGUAGGUUUUCUGUUGCAACUUAUAACCUACCUGUUACAGCAGAUGAGCAAUCCUUUGAAAAUAAUAAAAAUAGAUCACUCAUCGGUUGUACCAAGUAGGUUUUCUGUUGCAACUUAUAACCUACCUGUUACAGCAGAUGAGCAAUCCUUUGAAAAUAAUAAAAAUAGAUCACUCAUCGGUUGUACCAAGUAGGUUUUCUGUUGCAACUUAUAACCUACCUGUUACAGCAGAUGAGCAAUCCUUUGAAAAUAAUAAAAAUAGAUCACUCAUCGGUUGUACCAAGUAGGUUUUCUGUUGCAACUUAUAACCUACCUGUUACAGCAGAUGAGCAAUCCUUUGAAAAUAAUAAAAAUAGAUCACUCAUCGGUUGUACCAAGUAGGUUUUCUGUUGCAACUUAUAACCUACCUGUUACAGCAGAUGAGCAAUCCUUUGAAAAUAAUAAAAAUAGAUCACUCAUCGGUUGUACCAAGUAGGUUUUCUGUUGCAACUUAUAACCUACCUGUUACAGCAGAUGAGCAAUCCUUUGAAAAUAAUAAAAAUAGAUCACUCAUCGGUUGUACCAAGUAGGUUUUCUGUUGCAACUUAUAACCUACCUGUUACAGCAGAUGAGCAAUCCUUUGAAAAUAAUAAAAAUAGAUCACUCAUCGGUUGUACCAAGUAGGUUUUCUGUUGCAACUUAUAACCUACCUGUUACAGCAGAUGAGCAAUCCUUUGAAAAUAAUAAAAAUAGAUCACUCAUCGGUUGUACCAAGUAGGUUUUCUGUUGCAACUUAUAACCUACCUGUUACAGCAGAUGAGCAAUCCUUUGAAAAUAAUAAAAAUAGAUCACUCAUCUGUUGCACCAUGUAGUUUAUCUGUUGCAACCUAUAACCAACCUGUUGCAGAAAAUAAGUAAUCCAUUAGAAAUAAUAAAAACAUAUCACUUAUCUACUAAAAUAGAUCACUCAUCUUUUGCAAAAUGAGUUAUCUGUUGGAUCAGUAUUGUCACGCCCCAAAUCCUAUUAAGGCGGACUGGCACCCGUUGCCGGUAAGGCUCGGGAGAACCAACCUGUAGCGAUACAUUACCUAUGAACAUUAUAAGUUACUUUCAUACUAAACAUGCCCUCAAAAGAUAAAUAGGACUAGCAAGCCAAAAGAUAUUAUAUGACUAGGCCGUUGGAGCCACAAUGUCUACGGUACGAUACAUGACCAUACUAUACUUUACGUAGUCUACAAAGCCUCUAGACAAGAAACGUUAUCUUAUAAGGGUCGGGACAGGCCCCGCCUCAUGAUAAGAUACUAUACAAUGCAAAAAGAUAUGAUAAGACUCAAAGCCCCGAAGCAACCUGGAGCUCAGUGACUGCGGUUGAUAUCCUGUACUCUUACUAGGGAGGUUUAUUAGCUUCUGUACCUGCAGCAUGGAAUGCAGGUCCCCCAAGAGGGACGUCAGUACGAAAUAAUGUACUGAAUAUGUAAGGCAACAUGUACUAUAUAUGAGAUAAAAACUCAAAUGAAACCAUGUACUGCUGUAGGGUAAAAGACCACCUUUAUGAAUAUUGUGGAGUCAUGUAUCUUAUAACAAUUAUGUUACUUUACUCUUAUUACUUGAAUAAUCUGUGCACAGCAUGUAAUACAAAUGACCAGCUGAUCAGUGGUAAUUCUAUAUCAGGAUCGACCCAUGCUAGGCUUUCCUUUCACCCCUGGGAUACCCCCUGUAAUACUGGGAUUGACCCAUGCUAGGUGAUUCUUUCACCCCUGGGAUACCACCCAACAGAAGCAACUGUAUACAUAUAUCUUCUUAUUACUUUUGAGAUGAAUCUUUGGUGGUCGUAACAUUUGAGCUAUAAGACUAUAAGCAUGACAAAUGACAAGUAUGUGUCCAUGUAACAUCAUAUCAUAAUGAAAAGAGUGGGUUGUACAAUUAGUGAAACAUGUAGGACAUAAACAACGUAUGAACUUUAUUUAGCUAAAAAGAAGACUCAUAUGUCAUGGUACCCAAUGUAUGUAUGCAGCAGUGACAAUGCUCGAAUCUGGACACACAAGUACAUGUUAAAGAGUGGAGUGGUUAUGUCAAAGUUUGUAAAGAUCUCUAUGUGCCAAUGAAGACUUUGGAUUCCAUGCCAAAUAAUAAGAGAUCGAAUAGCCUUACAUACCUCGACAUAUCAACUUGUUUUUACGUCGAAAUGACUUCUUUUCUUCCAACUAUUUAUCUACAAUAUCAUGUUUUAAAGCUAGUAUUAGCAGCUAAUCAAUGCAUCUGGACAGCCCAAUCUCACAAGACACAACACUUUGGCAACAAACGUAUAACCAUCAACUCAAUGGUGUUAUUCCGACUUUCUCAAUUCUAACUGUAUUCAACCAGCAUAGAUUAUCAUAUACAUGAUGUAUACAGCCUAUAUUAGUUCUAUAACAUGCUGGCAACAGUCCAUAACUACAACACAUAACCAUUUUACAAAACGCUCAACUAAGAAGCACAACAUCUCGUCGUCUCCCUACAUUUCGUCGUUAACAAUUCAUACUUGUCCCAACUUUGAACCAGAUGCUCCCAACAUAUAUAUACAUCAAAUAAACCUUAACAUAGUCACAAAAUAGCUCAAAACGUAGGGGAAACGUGAAACAACAUCCCCCUCAACAAAACAGUCCAAUACCAGUUUGGAAGCACAUAAGAUCAUAUAAGGAUACUUGUUUCCAAAGAACUAGCAAAACAGUCCAGCAACCUUGGCAACCAUAUACACACUAUAACAUGUUAAUAACCUCAACUUUAUAUCAUAUUAAAGUCAAAAAUCAGGGUAAGAAUCGUUCCAAAGCCAAGAAAACCAAACAACAACUUUCAGGACACAAGCUGUCCAGAAAUUCCUGCACAGUGAACCAGCCAACUUAUCUUGUUUUCCAUGGAAAAUUCAUAUCAAGUAUAUGGUUAUUUUUACAUACCUUAACUCCCAAGGUGUAGGUCUAAUUCAAGAACUCAAAAAGUAGCCUUUGGUUGCCUUCCAAGGUGAAGAAAUACCAAGAGAAACUUAGAGAGAAAUUCUGAAAUUUUUUGGUCUUUUCUUUGGUUAACCUAGAGCUCGGUUUUGGUCCCUUUUUAAGGAGACUUUAGACCGACUUUCUCCUAAUAUUUGUAGCUGAUUAACUCAAGUUGGUCAAUGACUAAUUUUCCCCUUUCACUUGGGCCUUUUGGAUCUCUAAAUCAAUGGGCUUUAGUGGCCCAUUUCCUUAAUUUUUCUUGCACUUUGUUUGGGCCCAAUUUUGUUAGUAGUGAAUGAAUGUAGUUGGGCCUAUUAUAUAAAAAUUUUGGGCUGAACAUCUUGGCCCAAUAUAAUGUUAAACCAUUGGCUUAAAUAGCCUCCCUAACUUGGGCUUCGUUUGUCACAAGACUUGGAAAGUUUCGGCGUUAAGCCUUGUCUUCGUUCCCUUUUCUUUUUUACUAACGUCUAGACUUCAAGUGAGUUCACUUAUGAAUGAAUUCUUCUCCCUCAUGAUAUAUAAUUUUUAAGCUAAGCACACAGGUGACUCACCUGCUAGCUUCCUAAGUUCCAUAAGCAUGUUAAUGAUUUUCUCCGUUUAAGGCCACAGUCUCUAAAUAGAUUUCCAUAUAGUGCCCCAAUCCAACACUUGAACACUUGAAAAAUUUUUGGUAGUAAUUAAAUCAAGUCGUAUGUCAUUUUAUGUGAACAUUACUAGUACAUGUAAAAUGUGGGGUGUUACAACGGCAAAAAAAUAGGGACCACUUAAAAUAAUAUUACAUAUGUUAUAGAAUGUAAUUAAAAAAAAGUGUUGCUAUUUUUUGUAAUUAAAUACUUAAGUAUGUUAACAUAUGUAUUUUUUCCUUCAUAAAAUAAAAUGAUACAAGCUAGACGGAAAAGAUAGUAAGUUAAAGAGGAAACAUUUCAUGAUUUUCGGUAAUGUCAACACGAUUUAAUUUAGGUUGAACGAUAAAAGUUUUAUCGUAGUGUUGUUCUUAUAGUUAACGUUUAUUAUUUUUGCCAAAAAAAAGGUGUUAUUCAAUGGCCAUAUAUAUACACUAUUAAGUAUAUAAUCUGAAGUUUUAAUUUCACUCUUUUCUAAGAAAAAAAAAAAGUAAAAAUUAGGUAUAUUAAGAGUGCUAGAGUUAGGCAAUAAAACUAGGAAAAUGGACACAAAUGAGCACUUGUCCAAAAUAAUUACCAACCGAGUGGCCACUAAUUUUGCAUUUCCAUUAUAUAACCAUUUAGGCCUUUUAGCUCACUACUUCUUCCUUCUUCUUCUUCUUUUUUGUUUUUUCCUUAAUUUUUUGUUGCUGCUCAGUUUUUAUAAAACGAAUAAAUCUGCUCUUUUAAUUUUUUUAACAAUCAAAUGUGAUUCUGUAGGUUUUCUCCCCUAACUCUUCGCUUCUAUUUUUUAUAUAAUUUGUGUGUAAUAAAUUGUAUAAUCAAUAUAGAUAGACAGAUAGAUAGACAGAUAGACAGACAGAUAGAUAGAUAGACAGAUACGUACAUAGAUAGAUAGAUAGAUAGAUACAUACAUACAUACAUACAUACAUACAUACAUACAUACAUACAUACAUACAUACAUACAUACAUACAUACAUACAUAGACAGAUACAUAGAUAGAUAGAUACAUAGAUAGAUACAUAGAUACAUAGAUACAUACAUAGAUAGAUAGAUACAUACAUAUAUCUUACACACACACACACACACAUAUAUGCUUUUAACACAUCCUAUACAAUGCUACAACAAUUAUUCAUAUACACAUUAUAUACAAGGUUAUAUAUUUUCUAUACAUAUCAUACAUAAAAUUUAUUCUAUGAACAAUUAUACAGUUUGAUACAUAUUUUACACAUAAUUAUAUAAUUUUUUUACACAUUCUAUACAAUAAUUCUAUAAUUUUUAUACACAUUUUAUACAUACUUUUUCUGUAAUUAUUAUUUGGAUACGUAUUUUAUGCAACAACUAUAAGUUUAUAUACAUAUUUUAUACAUUUUUAUAUAUAUAUAUAUUUUACACAUAUUGAUAUAACUAUACAAUAUUUACACAUAUAUCGUUUAUAGGUACAUAUUCUAUACAAUAAUUAUAGCAUUUUUAUACAAUUAUAUUUAAUUGUUAUUUUAAAACAACAAAAAAGUUAGGCUCUGUUUAGUCAAAAAAAUUGUAGCAAAAAAAAACUAAAACAUUUUUAAAAAAGGAUUGAAUGGCUCAAAUUGGAAAAGGCUGAAAAUGACCAAUAUGACUGAAUGACCCAAAUUGGAAAAGACUGAAAAUGGCCAAUAUGACCCAAUGACAUUAAUUUGGCCGACGGGCCAUAAAAUGUUCGGAGGCCCAAACAUGGGCCAAUACUUUUUCUAAAAAUUACACAAAUACACAACUUAUGUUUUCAAUAUUACAAAAAAUUUCAACUCCCUAAACAUAUUACAAAAAUCCCACAUAUACAGAGAAUGCUAUGUAUAUGUCGGCUAUGUUAUGUAUAUUAAUAGUGUGAGAGAGUAAAGUAAUUAAAAAAGUGAGAGAGAGUGUAAUUACUUUUAAAAGGUUGGUAUUUAUGUUAUUUAUACAUACUUUUUUGAGUGACUAGUCCAUAUUUUUUUCUCAUAAAACUAUUGAUAUAUAGUAUAAACUACUCAAUUUAUAGAAUUUAAAUGAUAAACACUUGUUAUAAGUUUAUUAUUUAUUUAAAUGAUAGUGCCAAGUUCACUAGUGAAUUAAUCUUAAAGAAAUUAUUUUUAAAAAAAAAAUUAUGUGGGUAGUUUGGGCCACUGAAACACACCCAAUUCGAAUUAGAAAAUUACAUGUGAUGACCCUUAUAGUAGGUGACUUUAUUUUCUUGUCCCCAUAAGAAAAGUAUUUUAAAUAUCAGUCUUACUUCCUUUUUAUGUAUUAACAAGUACACCUCAAAUAUUUUUACACUUUUCAUACAAACUUGUCUCUCGACUUCUAUUUUUAAUUCUCUUUCCUUGAUUUUUUUUUUUUUAGUCCAUUUGUCUCAACCUUUAUUUUUAUUUUUUUAUUUUUCUUCUCUUUUUUAUCAAAAAAUAUUUAUUUUUAUUUCUAUUUUUAAUUUAUUUACCUCAAUCUUUAUUUUUUAAUUUUAGCUUUUCUCUUUUUUUUUCUUCUUUUUUUUCCUCAAAUUUUAUUUUUAUUUUUUCUUCUCUUUUUUAUUUUUCUCAAUCUUUAUUUGUUUUUUUUUUUGUUUUUAUUCUUCUGUUUUUUUCUUUUCUAUUAACCUUUAUUUUUUUUCUUCUCUUUUUUUAAAUUUUUUUUCUUAAUCUUUAUUUUUUUCUUCUCUUUUUUUCUCAACUUCUAUUAUAUUUUUCUAAUAAACAAAAGUUGGAUAAUUCGCAAAGAGGAUUUUCUAUCUUUAACAUCGAAGUAUAUUUACGGGUGUGACUUGUAGUUUGGAUGUCCUUUGUGAUAAGUCUUACAUCUAAGGCAAGAGUUAUAGAACAUCUCAUAAACCAAGAUAUAAUGUGGUAGUGUCAAUUUUUAACCAUGAGGUGUAACUUGUUGUUUGAAAUUCCGUGGGCUAAAACUUGCCUCUAAAGCAAGAGUUAUAUGCAUCUCGUAAAUCAAAAAACAAUGUGAUAGUGUCAACUCUUGCCCAUGGGUGUAAUUAUUUGAAAUUUUUUGGUCUAAGUCUUGCCUCUAAGAAAAGAGUUACAGAACAUCUCAUAAAUCAAAACACAAUAUGGUAGUGCCAACUCUUGCCUAUGUGAUGUAACUUGUUAUUUGAAAACUCUUAGUCUAUGUAUUUCCUCUAAGGAAAGAGUUAUAGAGCAUCUCAAACACAAUGUUCUAGUGCUAACUUUUGUCUAUGGGUGUAAAUUGUUGUUCAAAGGUCCUUGGACUAAGUAUUGUCUCUAAGGCAAGAGUUAUGGAGCAUCUCAUAAAGCCAAAAUAUAAUAUGGUAGUGUCAAAUCUUGUCCAUGGGGUGUAACUAGUUGUUUGAAAUCUCUUGAGCUAAGUCUUGUCUCUAAAGUAUGAGUUCUAGAGCAUCUCAUAAAUAAAGAUACAAUGUGGUAGUACCAACUCUUCCUCAUAGGCCGUAACUUGAUGUUUGUAGGUCCUUGGGCUAAGUCUUGCCUGUAAGAGAGAGUUAUAGACAUCUUACAAGCCAAGACAAAAUAUGGUAGUGUCAAUUCUUUCCAGUGAGGUACAACUUGUUCUUUGAAAGUCCUUGGGAUAAAUCUUGCCUCAAAGUCAAUAAUUAUAGAAUAUCUCAUAAAUUAACAUAAUGUGAUAGUGUCAAAUCUUACCUGUGGGGCAUAACUUAUUAUUUGAAAGUCUUUGGGGUAAGUCUUGCCUCUAAGACAAGAGUUAUAGAAUAUCUUAUAAAUCUGUCACACCUUAAAUCCUAUUGGGACGGACAAGCACCCAUAGCUGUGAAGGCUCAAGAGAACCAAUCCAUGACCUUGUACUCCUCACGUAUGUAACUCUAAUAACCAAAGGUUUUACCAUACAUGGAUAUAAUGCAUUGAUGAGAAAUAAACGACAUGUCCAAAACUAUAUAUACACCAGACUUGGCCAUUGAGGCCAUAAAUCUAAAAGAUAAGACACUAUCCUGCUUAACUUUACAUUGGUCUACAAAACCUCUAAUAGAUACAUAGACAUCUGGUUAAGGUUGGGACAAACCCCAGCCUUACUCUUGACUACUGUACUAUACCAAAAUAUAUAAAAUAGACUUGAAAAGCCCUGAAUUAAUCUGGAGCUCACCAAUAGUCGUUGGAUAUCCUGGGCUCCUACUGAGAAGGUGUAUAUGCUGAAGAACAUGUGCCUGCAGUAUGAAAAAUAGGUCCCCCAUAAGGGGCAUCAGUACGAAAGUAUGUACUGAAUAUGUAAGGCUAAAAGUAACCAUACAUCAUACAGGAGCUCAAUGGAAAUUAGGUAUAAGUGUACAAAUAGUUCUAGUAGACCACCUUUAUAUAUAUACUUGUAGGGUCAGGAACAUUACAUUCCUUUCUUUACUUUACCUUUCUUACUUCAUAAUCUUUGUAAGUCAUAUGAUACAAAUGACCAGUUGAUCAGUGGUAACUAGAUAAAUUGGGAUCGGCCCGUGCUAGGGUUACGCACCUGAGCUACCAACAACAUAUAAAGUAUCAGGAUCGAACCAUGCUAGGCUUAUGCCCCUAAGCUACUACCCGUUUAAUACAGAUUUAUGUUACUUAAUUUAUUUAGCCUUUGAGAUUGUUACUUUGGUGGUCAUAACAUUAUGGUACCUUGAAAUAAUAAUCUACCAAUAAGAUACACGUAAAUGGGCACUUAAUGCAACAACAAUGAGGUAGGGAGUUGUUGGCACACAAAUAAAGUGCUUAGGAGCUGAAAAUAACACAUGGGUCUUAUUUAAGUAAAUGGAGAACUCCUGAAAUUUCUAGUGAAAAUAGAUGCGCAGGCUUAAUAAUAAGCAUGUAUUGAGGUGCUUUAACACGUUAGAGAGUGGAAACAAGGUCAUUGGCUACAUAAGAUAUAAUACGCUGCUAUUAUGUAUCACUUGUUAUUAUGACCUUGAAAGCUUACUUGAUGGAACAAAUGCCUGAUUUCAUGCCAAAGAGUGCAAAAUAGAGUAUACCUUACAUAACUAGUCGUACAACUCCGAUACUAACCCAACUUGACUUUCUAUAUUUUGGAUUACUUAUCUAUAAUAAAAUACAUGGUAAACUAAUAUUAGCAACCAACUAACACAUUUGGGCUAUUUAACUUCACCAAAAUAGUGGCCGGACAGUAAGUACUUAAUUUAUCAGUCAAGGGUGUUAUUUUAACCCUUUUUUUCUCUAAUUACAUCCACACACCAUACAUAUUUGUAACACCCCGCAUUUUGGGCUAGAACAAAAACCAUCAUUUCUAUCUGUAGAUGAUCCAAAAGCCUUAAAGCAGCAAAUUUGUCAUGUUAAUCAAUUAUGUAGUGUGUGAAACUAUUUGAGCAUGAAUUGAGAUCAUAGAGGUUCCUUAACUAAAGGACUAGUUGAAAGUUUUCCUAUUGUUCAAGUUUUAGUAAGUGUCAAAACUUGGAUCAACUUCAAUCGACCAUAACUCCUUGUAUAUGACUAAUUGAGUGGGUUACUAUAUAUCAAAUGAAAGGUCUUUGAGUCCUCUUUCUAACACCACUAGUUUUGAUUUAAUCUGGUAUCGUAGUAGAAAGUUAUGCUUAUUUUACUUUGAAGUGUCUGUCUGCCAAAACGUGACGACGAGGCUGAUGACUUAUCAGCUGUAUGACGGCCCCGUCAGACCAGCCUAAAGUAGUGAAUGGUGAAAACCAGUCCAAAAGUGAUGACCUGGGUGACGACUUAUCACCUGAGUGACAGCCCGUCAAUCCUGGUCAACAACUGAUGCAAUUAUGCAAUUUUUUUGGGUUCCUUAGGGGUAUUUUGGUCUUUCCCUUACUCCAAAAAUCUUUCACAUGAAUUCAAUCACCCCUUAAGCAUUAUUAAUCAAUCACUAUCAGUUUUACAACAUCAAAAACUUCCUCUUUACUCUCAAAAUAAGAUCAAAUUAGGUUUUCUCCAAGAACAAAAAAUUCAAGAAAAUUAAGCUUUAAGUUCAAGAUCUCCAAGAAACAAAUCAAGAUCCGGGUUUCAUCUAUCAAGAUCUAGAUUCCAUCUUUCAGAUCUUAUAAUUUAAGGUAUGUGGGGUUUAUCCUAAAAACUACAUGGGCUUAAAACCACUAAAGCAUGAUUUUAAGAUUUUUAUGCAUGAAUUUUAAAGGGGUUUUGGAAUCUAUAUUCUAAAUUACGUACUCCGAAUGUUUUAAUGUUACUAUUGUUUUGACCUUGUGGUUCAAUCCCCUAGAUUGAUUUACAUUUAUACACAUAUAUAUAUAUAUAUGGAAUUUGAAAUUUAAGAUUGUUUGAGAGCAUAAAUCAUGAACUCCCUCUCUUGUAUUGGAUUAAAGCUUAUGGUUUUGUUGGAAAAGAGUUUAAAUACAUGUUUUAUGAUUUGAAAGAUGUUUUCUCAAUGUCCUUGUACUUGAAUAUGAUUUUAAAUUAUUGAGAGGGUGUUUCUUCAUAUAACUAUGUGAUGUUAAAGAGAAAUAACUGCAUGAGAUUGAGACUUUUAACAUGACCACCUUUGUUUACUAUCAAGAUCUAGAUUCCAUCUUUCAGAUCUUAUAAUUUAAGGUAUGUGGGGUUUAUCCUAAAAACUACAUGGGCUUAAAACCACUAAAGCAUGAUUUUAAGAUUUUUAUGCAUGAAUUUUAAAGGGGUUUUGGAAUCUAUAUUCUAAAUUACGUACUCCGAAUGUUUUAAUGUUACUAUUGUUUUGACCUUGUGGUUCAAUCCCCUAGAUUGAUUUACAUUUAUACACAUAUAUAUAUAUAUAUGGAAUUUGAAAUUUAAGAUUGUUUGAGAGCAUAAAUCAUGAACUCCCUCUCUUGUAUUGGAUUAAAGCUUAUGGUUUUGUUGGAAAAGAGUUUAAAUACAUGUUUUAUGAUUUGAAAGAUGUUUUCUCAAUGUCCUUGUACUUGAAUAUGAUUUUAAAUUNNNNNNNNNNNNNNNNNNNNNNNNNNNNNNNNNNNNNNNNNNNNNNNNNNNNNUGCAUGAGAUUGAGACUUUUAACAUGACCACCUUUGUUUACUGAAUCAUUGAUAAAGAGAACUAACUGCAUGGUUUUACAUGAGUUUCUUGAAAGAAUUGUUGAUAUGGUGGUCCUAAAUUUCAUGAUUUGAAAACAGAGAGACAAAUUGCUAUAAAUGGCUCAGAGAAUGUGACUUGCAAGUCAAUGGUAUGACGAUACCAUAUAUGUGUAUGUCAUGACAGAGUUAAAGAUUUUUGAGUACAUUUUCAGAGAAUGCAUGUUUAAAGAAUUAAAAAUGGGCAUAAAGAGAGUUAGGUGGUUACCCGAAGAAGGCAUGAGUUCAAGUAACUCUUAGCCUGAAACCGUAUUUGCCAAUACGGGUAGAUUAUUAUUGUACACUAGCGAUGGUCGUGUGGCGUAGUAGAGACAGAGACUCUGACCCUUGCGGUACACUUGGGUUGGGGGCUUGGCUGCCGAGUUAAUAGCAGAUUCCAUAUAUCCUGUGGAAUUACUUUAUUGUAAGGUAUACCACCUAGCGCAGAAGUAAUACAAAGAGUGUCACAGAGUUCAGAUGAUUUCACAAAGUCUUUUAAAAUUGCCCAUGUGAUUUCUUACUAUAUGAUAUGUUUAUGAACUAUUUUAAACUGUUGUCAUAUAUGUUGAAUAUAAAUAAUUAUUUUGGAUUUUCUCUGCAUACCAGUACAUCUGUAUUGACCCCCCCUCCCCUACCUUUCAGGCUUUGAGGCUCAAUCUAGGGGUCCUGAUAAGCAGUAGAUUUCUCCAUACAGAAGUGCAGAGUUCAGUUGGUGAGCCUUCUAUGUUUUAGAAGGCUUGUUUAUUUUUAGACAUUUAUUUAUGAUUUUGGUCUACUGGGGGCCUUGUCUCAGUUUUCAGACAUCUUUGCUUCAUAUGUAGUAGAGAUUUCACAGACGAAGUCAGAUAUUAUUUUAAAUGUUGUUGAACUGUAGUCUUUGAUAUUAUGUUAUUUUCAGAGCAUGACCAUGAUUCCUUAUUCAGCAUUAUUUCUGCAUUUUUUCUGUAUAUUAAUGGUGUAUGUGAUUACAAGUUAGAUGGGCGUCCAGGCCUUCAUGGUUAAGAUUGCUUGUCAUGGCCAGGGCCUUGAUUUGGGUCGUGACAAACUUGGUAUCAGAGCAUGGUUUAUGGUUUCAGGGUGUCUGCAAAAUUGUGUUGGGUAGAGUCUUAUUUAUGGGUGUUGAGCACGCCACACUUAUAAGCAGGAGGCUAUUAGGUGUUUAGGAAUGUCUCCCUUUCUUCAUGUUCUAAUUCGUGCUAUGGAGUCAGAAUGUUCUUUUUUCAUACUCUAAUUCGUGCUAUGGUGUUGGCCAUAUAAAAGUAAAGUUAUCCUAAUUCUUUCCUUACUUUGAUGUGCUCAGAUAUGUCUCAUUAUUGGGGUGAUUCAAGCGCAGAAAUUUAGAGUCUAAAUGGUAUGGUCCUUUUUGAUCGAGCCAUAUAAGAUUUUAAAAUUUUGUAAGGGCUUGAGAAGAGUCCAUUAGUGUUUUAGAGUGUAUUGAUUCUAGUGUGAACUUUGAUUUUGAUGAGAUCGUGCUUUUCAACCUGCAGUAUUAAGUAUAUUCAGUCUUUUUUAAAAUUUAUAUUGCAGAUGUCAUGCCUAAAUAGGGGAAUGAUGUGUAGCAGAAUGUUGGAACAAUAUUUCCACUUGAAUAAUAGUAUGAGUUAAAGUGUUGUUGUCAUGACCUAUUGGUAGUGAUAUUGGACCAAGAAGUUGGAGAUAUGAAGUCACAAAGUUAGAAGUCAGAGUGAGGGUGACUUUUGUGUAGAUAAAUAUUUUAGUUGAAUAACCGAUGUUUGAGGAUAAUUUACCCCUUUUAUAGUGAUAGACUAAUGCGGUAGCUAGUAGCAUGUGUGGAUUGUAUAGUAGUCUGUGGGGGAAGCGUUUGACUCAGAUUUUUAUUUAUAUAGAGUAAGAUGUGUAUUCUUAGAUCAUUGAUUAUUGUGUGUCAAGUUUUUAUCUCUUGUAAUCUUGUGAUCAUUGUGUUGUUGAAACUAAAAGUCUAGUGAAGCCGUGUGGGGCUCUUUCUAUUCACUAGCAUAGUUGCCUUGUCAUUCAUCUCAUUUUCUUGUUCAAAACAUAAAAUCAAAGUCUAGUGAAACUAUGCGAGGCCUAUUUCAAUUCACUAGCAACUUGUUGUUCAAUUUAUUGCUCUUAUGUUGGUUGAAUAUAAGUAUAGCCGAAUCUUUUUACAUGAGAUUGAGUUGGUAAUGUAGUGAUACAUCCUUGUGUGUUAGUUUUGUAGAAGGUAGAGAAGGAGUUAUUAAUCAAGGUGAUAUGAGGUUGCGGUAUUUUUUUCCUUCUAAGGCUAUUACAUGUUGUGUGUGGCUAGUGGUACCAUUAAGUUUCUAGGUGGAGAAAGACUAGUUAGAUGGUACAUGGUGUUCUAAAUGGCCAAGUUAAGGUGUUUUGACUACUAGUUCUGAGCCUUUUGAUAUGAUCUUGAUCCUCAUGGUAGAGAGAUAUAAGUUUGGGGUCGUGGUAUUAGUAGGUUAUGACGGAAGAAGUAUGGUUCAUUAAAAGCUUGGUGAUAUCCAUGUUAAGUGUUAGAAUCUAAGUUUGAGUUUUGAACGUUGAACUAAUAAAAAUAAGAGUAGAAGCACCAGAGGGUGUGCACUUCAAGUAUGGGGAUACUCAUGAAGAUUCAAAGUUACUAAGUGUUCAAGUAUUAUAUGAUGACUAUUGGUGGCUAUAGAAGAUAGAGUGUAUCUCAGAAAGUAGUAUUAACAGCGGGUUUUUCACUUUCAAGUGUAGUCAUUCAGGUUAAGUUCUAUAUAUGCGUGUAUGGUCAUUUUUCCAGACCCUAGAGUGCAGUAAGUGUAGUUCAGUUAGAGUCUAGUAAGAGAUCUCUCACACUUAAGAUGAUGACUUGAAGCUAAGAGGUAGAUGAUAGAACGAAUAACCAAGACAGACUCUCAGAUUCUAGUAAUGAUGUCAGUAUGAUAUAGAACAUCAGAAAGUGAGGGUGAGACUCAACCCAUUCUUAUCUCAGUAUUUUUCAGUUAUCCCAAUACCUACUCAUGCCUUACAUUUCAGUUCCAUGAUCAUGGUCCAUGUUCAUGCAUAUGAUAGAAUUCUAUUUUUCAGUUAUCCCAAUACCUACUCAUGCUCUUCCAGUUCCUAAAUGAGGAAUUCUAUUUCAUUUCAGUAGUCGGAAUCACACUCCAUAAGUUAUGAACUCCAAGUUGAGGUCAUGCAGCUUAUGACUCAUGUACUCACGCUUUAUAGUGUGCUCAGUUCUCAUAACUCAUGCUACACACCAAAUAAUUGGUGAGAUUCAGCUUAUAGACAGGUAUACUCUUAAUUAAGAUUACUUUGAUGAAUCCCUGAUGUUGAUUCGUUGUUCCUCAGGCCUCAGUUAAGUGUCAAUUCUAGUACAAUAUCCUUUCAUGUUUCAAGGUCUUAUGUUCUAACCUUUUAGUGACUCUUCCUUAUGUAAUGAUAUUGGUGAUGAGUAGAUAUUUUUUGUUGAUGAAUGAUCAUUGUAUGCUUGUCUUAGAUAAGACUAUAAGUGUGAGGUAAGAUUUGAGGCCAAGUCUUUGAUAUAUGUGAUGGUUAGUGCAAAUUUAUGUGUAUAUGCUCUUGGGAUAGCACGUGAGAGUUAUAUUGACAAUGGUUUAUAGACUAUGUGAAGUAUGUAUUUAUGGGUGUUUGCCUUGAAUUUCAUAGGUGGUUAUAAAGAUAGGCUUGAAUGACAUGUUAGGAUUUAAGUGGAGGAACGUAAUAUGUGCUAGUAAAUCAUAGUAAAAGUUCAGAGUAAGUCAUCAUUAAAGUGGUAAGGCACAUUAUAUUUAGGGUGUGAUCUCUAAAAAGAUAUAGAAAAUGGAAUCAUAUGGUUUAGACUAGUAUCGUUAUAUGGCAUGCUGUAUUUUAUGGUUUGGAGUUAGGCUUGAUCGCGGUGAGAGGAUUUAAGCCACUUUAGACAUUAGUAGAAAGAUUUAUCAAUGCCCAUAUGAGAAUUUUAAGUUGAAUCAAAUGAGCAUGGGAUUUAAGGGGAAUAGUAUAGUUAAGGGAGUAUUCGGGAAGUAUGCUAAGCUGGAAAGUAAGAAGUUGCAUUACCUAAGGCCUGGUAAUUGUCCCUAGUUUAUGAGUUAUAUGUCUAUAUUCUAUGCUAUAGAGUAGUGUCAAUAUUAUGAUUCCUUAGUCAGAUAUCUGAUGUAGAUUAUGCCGAAGAUUCUUUUGCUCCCUAAUGUUACUAGAACUUCCUUAGAAAGAGUGUUGAAGAGAUACUCCAGUUAAGCAUAAGUUUCCAAGUAUAAUUCAGUCUGUAUAGCCAGCAAUUCAGUUUAAAAGUCAGGCAAACAAGUUACUAUGGUUUUCCACCUUUUCACCCAGUCCUACUAUUCGAAGUCUCAUGCGUAUGACCAUCCCCAAGAGAUAAUCUAUACCAUCUAUGUAAAUUGCGAAUCCAGUUUAGUCUAAGCAUCAUGUUUUAGAUUCAUCUAUUUAGUCAUGACUCAGUUCAUAAGAGUUCAGCGCAUAAUCUCAAAUUUUUCCAAGUAUUUUAGCUCAGACAGUGUAAUACACUGGUACAGUCUAAGUCUUGUUGCCUCAUGAUUCGUACUUGCCUAAGUUAUCACAUUUCAAUUCAAUAUAUAUGAUUGGAUCAUGAACACUUCAAGGGAAUCCUAAAUUCUCGGCAUGAAUCAGCUCCUCGAAGCAAGUAAAGUCAAAUCAACACAGAAUUCAGUUUCAUGAUAGAAGUUUAAAUGUUUCAGAUCAGUUAUAUCCUUUCUUAGAAGACACAUCAUGUCUGCGUUAUUUCAUACCUUUACGCUUCAACAUUCCUACCCAUCAUUCGGGGACGAAUGAUCCCAAAGGGGAGAUAAUAUAACACCCCGCAUUUAGGGCUAGAACGAAACUGUUAUUUCUAUGCGUAGAUGAUCCAAAAGAGUUAAAUCCUAUGCAAAUUUGUCAUGUUAAUCAAUUAUGUAGUGUGGGAACCUAUUUGAGCAUGAAUUGAGAUCAUAGAGAUCCCUUAACUCACGGACUAGUUAAAAGCUUUCCUAUCGUUCAAGUUUUAGUGAGCGCCAAAACUUGGAUCAACUUCAAUCAACCAUAACUCCUUGUAUAUGACUAACUGGGUGUCCUACUAUAUGUCAAAUGAAAGGUCUUUGAGUCCUCUUUCUAACGCCAUUGGUUUCUCUUUUAUCCGAUAUCAGAGUAGAAAGUUAUGCUCAUUUAGGUUUGAAGUAUAUAUCUUCCAAAAUGUGACGACGAGGCUGACGACUUAUCAGCUGUGUGACGACCUGUCAGACCUGGUCGUCAACCUAAAGUAGUGAAUGGUGUAAACCAGCCCAAAACUGAUGACCUGGGUGAUGACUUACCACCUGAGUGACGGCCCGUCAACCCUGGUCGUCAAUUGAUGCAAUUAAGCAAUUUUUUUGGGUUCCUUAGGGGUAUUUUGCUCUUUUCCUCACUCCAAAAAUAUUUCACACAAAUUAAAUCACCCCUUAAGCGUUAUUAAUCAAUCACUAUCAGUUUUACAACAUCAAAAACUUCCUCUUCACUCUCAAAAUAAGAUCAAAUUAAGGUUUUCUCCAAGAACAAAAAAUUCAAGAAAAUCAACCUUAUGUUCGAGAUUUCCAAGAAACAAAUCAAGAUCUGGGUUUCAUCUUUCAAGAUUUAGGUUCCAUCUUUCAAGAUUUAGGUUCCAUCUUUCAUAUCUUAUAAUUUAAGAUAUGGGGUUUAUCUUAAAAACUACACGGGCUUAAAACCAUUAGAGCAUGAUUUUAAGAUUUUUAUGCAUGAAUUUCAAAGGGGUUUUGGAAUCUAUGUUCUAAAUUACGUACUCCGAAUGUUUUAAUAUUACUAUUGUCUUGGCCUUGUGGUCCUAUCCCCUAAAUUGAUUUACAUGUAUACGUAUAUGUAUGAGAAUUGAGAUUUAAGAUUGUUUGAGAGCAUAAAUUAUGAACUCCUUCUCUUGUAUUGGAUUAAAGCUUAUGAUUUUGUUGGAAAAGAGUUGAAAUACAUGUUUUAUGAUUUGAAAGAUGUUUUCUCAAUGUCCUUGUACUUGAAUAUGAUUUCAAAUUGUUGAGAGGGUGUUUCUUCAUAUAUCUAUGUGAUGUUAAAGAGAAAGAGACUUUUAAUAUGACCACCUUUGUUUACUAAAUCAUUGAUAAAGAGAAUUAACUGCAUGGUUUUACAUAAGUUUCCUUGUAUUGGAUUAAAGCUUAUGAUUUUGUUGGAAAAGAGUUGAAAUACAUGUUUUAUGAUUUGAAAGAUGUUUUCUCAAUGUCCUUGUACUUGAAUAUGAUUUCGAAUUGUUGAGAGGGUGUUUCUUCAUAUAUCUAUGUGAUGUUAAAGAGAAAGAGACUUUUAAUAUGACCACCUUUGUUUACUAAAUCAUUGAUAAAGAGAAUUAACUGCAUGGUUUUACAUAAGUUUCUUGAAAGAAUUAUUGAUAUAGUGGUCCUGAAUUUCAUGAUUUGAAAAGAGAGAUAUAAAUUACUAUAAAUGGCUCAAAGAAUGUUACUUGCAAGUCAAUGGUAUGACGAUACCAUAUAUGUGUAUAUCAUGACAGAGUUAAAGAUUUUCGAGUAUGUUUUCAGAGAAUGCAUGUUUAAAGAAUUAAAAUGGGCAUAAAGAGAUUCAGGUGGUUACCCGAAGAAGGCAUUAGUUAAAGUAACUCUUAGCAUGAAAUAGUAUUUGCCGAUACGAGUAGAUUAUUAUUGUACGCUGGCGACGGCCGUGUGGCGUAGUAGAGACAGAGACUCCGGCCCUUGCAGUACACUUGGGUUGGGGGCUUGGUUUCCGAGUUAAUGGCAGAUUCUAUAUAGACCAUGGAAUUAAUUUAUUGUAGGGUAUACCACCUAGCGUAGAAGUAAUACAAAGAGUGUCACAGAGUUCAGAUUAUUUCAUAGAGUCUUUUAAAAUUGUCCAUGUGAUUUCUUACUAUAUGAUAUGUUUAUGAAUUAUUUUAAACUGCUCUCAUAUAUGUUGAAUAUAAAUGAUUAUUUUGGAUUUACUCUGCGUACCAGUACAUCUAUAUUAACCCCCCUCCCGUACCUCUCAGGUUCUGAGGCUCAAUCUAAGGGUCCUGAUAAGCAUUAGAUUUCUUCAGACAAAAGUGCAGAGUUCAGUUGGUGAGCCUUUUAUGUUUCAGAAGGCUUGUUUAUUUUUAGACAUUUAUUUAUGGUUUUGGUCUACUGGGGGCUUUGUCUCAGUUUUCAGACAUCUUUGCUUCAUAUAUAGUAGAGGUUUCGCA